rnacentral:lncRNA from 1 species
UGUACCGGUAUAAGAAACCGUGUACCGGUACAAGGAGCCCGAAACUGCAGGUUGAGUUGCAGAUUUUGGAAAAACUGAGGGGCCUUUUGGGAUAUUGUUACAAUACAUGUGAGAGGGUAUUAGAGAGGGCUUUUUCACUCUCUCUCCCACUCCUACAGCCCCCUCUCUCUCCCUCUGUUCGUGCCCAACCGAAGGGAGAAGAAAGAAAGAAAGAAAAGAGAGAAAAGAGAAAGAGAAGAAGAAAAAGAGAAGAAGAAGUUGGAGAAGAUGGAGAAGAAGAUCUAGAAGGAGAUCUUCAUCCUCUCCUUCAUCUUCCUUGAGCCAUUAGAGCUCUUUUGGAGGUAAGCUCUAAUCCUAAAAUUGCAUUUCUAGGGUUUAGAGUUUUUGGUUGCUUUUGAGUGGUUCAAAUGGAACCCAUUUGAGUUGGAGAAGAUGGUUCUAGCUCAUAUUGAAGCUUUGAACCAUGGAUUGCACCAUUGAUGCAAACCUAGGGUUAGAGUUUGGGUUUUAAACCCUAGAUCUUUGAUUUUGAUCUCCCUACAAGCUUUAGAACCUUGUAGGAACCUAGAACACAUGAAAUCCAUGUUGUUCUUCGUAGUGCUCUAAUGGUGGAAUCCUAGGGUUUGUUCUAAAUGCCCUAGGGAUGAUUCUAAUGAGAUGGAAACAAGUUUAGAGAGCUUCUUGGGUGAUUCUAAGCUUGAUUAUGCUUAGCAACAAGAUCAAUCCCAAGAAAUCUCAUUAUUGCAUUGUUAGGGCACCGAAAUUGGGGCUUUUGCCUCCGGGUGUUUCUAAGGCAAAUUGGCCUUGUAGAAACCUAAUUGGGGACCUAACGAACGCGUUGGUGCGCUCGGUUCGGCAAUCCGACGACCGUACGCGAAGUUAUUGACGAAACAAUCGGUUUUGGUACAGAUGGCCGCAGCACGCGGAAUAAAGGUCUAAAAUCAUGAGAUUGGAACCGGAGCACCUUGGAGUCAAGGAAUAACUUCCGGAAAAGACGGAUCGCGAUUUGGAGGUCGUUCGCUAAGUCGCGCAAGAGUUCGGGCCAAACCGGGCAACGGUUGCCGCGGGAGGCCGAUUGCAAGUGUCGACGAGCAAUCGGAACGCGUGUUAAGGUGGGUUGGUUUACCGAAGCGACUAGGUCGCCUUUAUGUCUAAUUAUUAGACUUUCAUGUUGAUGCAUGUUGAUGAUCGGUAUAGUUGAUGCUAAGUAGAAAUGCAUAAUAUGAUGUAGAUGCUAAAGUUGAUGCAUAUAAAUGUAAAUGAUGCAUGUAGCUAAAUAAUGCAUGAUGAUAGUGUGAUGUAAUUGCUAAAUAGAAUGCAUUAUGAGCAUGUUGAAUAAAGCUAGAUAAUUAUGUGAAUGCAUGUAAGCAUAAUGCAUAGAAUGAAAUGCAUAUUGAUGAUAUAAGUUAAAAUGAGAUAUAGAAUGAUUAAAGUAAAUGAUGCUAUGCUAAAGUAUAAUUGAUGAGCAUGAUCUGAAAAUAGUACAUACAAGUACAUGGUAAGAAUGCUAAGAAAAGGACAAGAGUAGGUGGACAUAAAUAAACCUAUAGAUCGAGUGGCAUUAAACCUAGUGUCAAGGACAUAGGUUAAAUAAAUGAGAUGUUGAACCUAAUGUAAAGAACAUAGGUUAAAUAAGAGUGAUGUUAAACCUAAUGUAAAGAACAUAGGUUGUGAAAUGAAAGCUGCUUAACCUAGAGUUAAGUGAACCUAAGUUGGAAAAGAAUGAUGAUCCUAGUGUAAUAAACCUAGGCCAAGAGUGUGAAAGCAAUAAACCUAAAGUAAUAACUUAGGUUGUGUAAAGGAUGUUGAACCUAGAGUCAAUUGGACCUAGGAGAUAAAUGCUUAGACCUAGAGAGGUCAGUUCCAUAGGGUUAAGACCAACCCUUGGUUGAUGUGAUAUGGAUUCCNCGUCAGUGCCAUUGGUUCCAGAAUAGCUGAACCGAUCAAAACGAGCUAUUGGAUCGCUAUGAACGGAGUCCGAUACGCGCCGAAAGCUAACUCUACUCCGUGCCUUCAUCGAAAAACCGGGUUACUAUUCACUUUAAGUGAAAACUAAUAAUCGCGUAACUUCUCCAUUCUAGCUUAUUUUCUCCUGAAACUUGACGAGUGCUUAUGUAACUAAAUUACACACAUAAACAUCAUCAACAGAGAGUUUAUUUGCACUGUAAAAAUCUCAGUUCUUACAAACAAGCAUGUAACAAUUAUGUGAAUUUACAUUGGUUCUAGCAUUUUCUUAAUUGACAAUACGAACUUAUUUGAGUGGACGUAAGAAUCAAUCUUCUUUAAUUCUUGAUUUUGUUACUAGCAGAUUAGAUAAAACUUGAAGCCUCCAUCUGUCACUUCAAACUAUGUUAAUUGGAGCUUUCUGUACUUUGGUUGCUACAGCUAAUCUGAUGAUUGUGCUUUCUAUGAUGGUGAUUUUGAGACAGCUAUUUUCUAACCAUUCCUUUUGGGAAGUCUGCAGAUUAAGUUCUUUGUCCACCAACUAGGAUUUGAAAUUGCUUUUAAUCUCUAUCAGCAUGUGAUUUUGUACUUUUGCUUCAUAAAGAAUUUCGUUUUAGAUGAUAGCUUGAGUUCUGCUACAUCCAUCCCACAAAAUUCUUGCAAAUUUUUGCUCUACGAAAGAUGAUUCGUAUAGGUUAUAAUGAUUUAAACUUACAUAACUGAUGUUUUGACUAAAUUUUCAAUCUGCAUAUUCUUUUGACGAUUCUUUGGAUUUUAUUUUUUAUUCAUUUAUCAUGGUCUAUUAUAGUAUUUUCAUUGAGCAUAAUAGAACCAUCUUGAAAAUUUUGUUUUCCUGCUAAAAAUUUAUUCCCUGUUUUGUUGAAGAAUAUUUUCCUUCCUGUUUCUUUCUUUUUUCUAGCUCUUCUUUGAGACGAUGAUGAUAAGUUGAGAGAAGUGCGUAAAAUAUUUGCUUCGAACAAGUUGAGGUUUGGACGGCCUGCUCAUAGGCAACUGCUUCAUAUUGUCUUAGCCUUGGUGGUCGCGCGCAUUUCCCUCUAACGGUAAUUUAUUACUCGGCAACCACAAAUGUGUGGAAAAUGUUUACUUUGAACAAGUGGAAGUUUGGAUGGCCUACUCAUAGGCAACCGCUUCAUAUUGUCUUACCCUUGCUGAUUGCACACAUUUUCCUACAGUGGUAAUUUAUUGCUCAGGAACCGCUUCCUACCAUUCUUAUCCUUGGCGGUUGCGCACAUUUCCCUCGUACGGUAAUCUAUUGCUCCUACUACUGCCCUAUACUUAUGACCAAUCUUGCCGAGUGCUUAUGAACAAUGUUGCCGAUUCUACUUAACUGAGCCUUACCUUUUUGUUCCCUUUUUGGGUGAUUCUUUAAAUUGAUUUUACAGCAGAAUUUAUACAACUGUUUGGAUUGUUCCCUGCUCAUUGCCUUUUUAAAUACUUUUCUUCGUUUGUCUGUCGGCAUUUGAAUUGAAUUCUUCCUCGGAUUUUUUUUGCAUGCAUAUUCUUUUGGCGAUUCUUUGGAUUAUAUUUUUUCAUUCAUUCAGCAUAGUCUAUUAUAGUAUUUUCAUUUCCUGCUUUUUUGAAGAAUAUUUUUCCUACUGUCACUUUCUAUUUUCUGGUUCUUUUGUGAGGCGUUGAUGGCAAGCUGAGGAAAGCAUAGAAAAUAUUUGCUUCGAACAAUGAUUUCCCAAAGAACUCUUUCUUGUCAUUUCCGUGUACACUAUCUGCUACGAUUUCUAGCUAUUAUGAUGAUUUAUAGGUGGUAUGCAUUUAUUUACGCUUUUUUGCGUUCCAGAACGUAAGGCCUUCCUUUUUUUGUGUGUGUGUAUGGGAUUGUGCUGUUCUAAUGCAAUUGUGUAUAGAAAAUUUGUGCCUUAUCAUAUGUCAGUGUAAAGUUGCAUAAAUUAGAUCAAACUGGAAUUCAUGCAUGAAUAAUUGCAAUUUUAAUUCACUUUAGAGAAAGAAUUUGGGUUUAAUUUAGAUUCUUUUUUCAAAUUUCUUUUAUAGAGUAUGAGCACGGGAACAAAAUCUUCAAGACGGUUCUAUUCUACUCAAUAAAAAAACUAUAAUAGACCAUGACAAAUGAAAAAAGAAACAGAAUCCAAAGAAUCCUCAAAAGAAUAUGCAGACUGGAAAAAUAGCCAACAGGAUCCUCAAAUAUGAAUCAUCUUUCCUAUUGUUCUAUAGCUUAGCCUCAUUAUAAUCUAUAUGAAUCACCUUUCUUAGAGCACACCUUACGAAAUAUAGUUUUUAUUUACCCCGUAUAUUUACUACUGUUGAGCCCACAUCAUAUCCCUAACUUUUUAAAUUACACUGAGCAUAUUAUAUAUUAUACAAAUUUGUUAGCAUCAAAAUGGUGCUCCUAUAGUGAUUCCCAAUAUAGUGCAUUUGGUUUUGCAGAAGAAAUGUAUAUUACGUCUUCCCUUUGUGCAAAUCUUGAAGGAAUUGUUCAGGGAACAUAUGCAUCUGAAAAACAAAAACAUAUACAUCUGGAAAACAAAAACUUAAUCUGUGUUUGAUCUAGAAAAUUAGAUCUGCAAUCCUGCAACGGAUAAAUUUGGUUUUGCAGUAGCAAAAUAUAUUAGCCCUAUAAAGUUGAUUGGCCUGUAUAUUUGACGGCUAAAAAAAAAUAAUUGUAAUUAUGUACCUCCCUUUUUUAUGGUUUUUAAUUUGUAUAACUGUCAAAAUAAUAAUCCCAUAGUGAUUCCCAAUGUAAUGCAUUUGGUGUUGCUGAUGACAAAUAUAUUAGGUCUUUCCUGUGUUUAAAUUUUUUAGGAUUUGUUCCUGCAAUUAUUUAGCUUUNGGGAACAAAAUCUUCAAGACGGUUCUAUUCUACUCAAUAAAAAAACUAUAAUAGACCAUGACAAAUGAAAAAAGAAACAGAAUCCAAAGAAUCCUCAAAAGAAUAUGCAGACUGGAAAAAUAGCCAACAGGAUCCUCAAAUAUGAAUCAUCUUUCCUAUUGUUCUAUAGCUUAGCCUCAUUAUAAUCUAUAUGAAUCACCUUUCUUAGAGCACACCUUACGAAAUAUAGUUUUUAUUUACCCCGUAUAUUUACUACUGUUGAGCCCACAUCAUAUCCCUAACUUUUUAAAUUACACUGAGCAUAUUAUAUAUUAUACAAAUUUGUUAGCAUCAAAAUGGUGCUCCUAUAGUGAUUCCCAAUAUAGUGCAUUUGGUUUUGCAGAAGAAAUGUAUAUUACGUCUUCCCUUUGUGCAAAUCUUGAAGGAAUUGUUCAGGGAACAUAUGCAUCUGAAAAACAAAAACAUAUACAUCUGGAAAACAAAAACUUAAUCUGUGUUUGAUCUAGAAAAUUAGAUCUGCAAUCCUGCAACGGAUAAAUUUGGUUUUGCAGUAGCAAAAUAUAUUAGCCCUAUAAAGUUGAUUGGCCUGUAUAUUUGACGGCUAAAAAAAAAUAAUUGUAAUUAUGUACCUCCCUUUUUUAUGGUUUUUAAUUUGUAUAACUGUCAAAAUAAUAAUCCCAUAGUGAUUCCCAAUGUAAUGCAUUUGGUGUUGCUGAUGACAAAUAUAUUAGGUCUUUCCUGUGUUUAAAUUUUUUAGGAUUUGUUCCUGCAAUUAUUUAGCUUUACUUUGUGAUGGCUUAUUAUAAUUUGUAUACAUGUUUUCAAAUUAUUUUGUAAAUGCCCUCAAUAGUUCCUGCAAUAAAAACCUGUAGUGGGUAGUUUUUAUUUUGCAGCAAAAAGAUAACAUAAAGCCUCUAUCUUUUGUGAAAUAGUAUCUAAUAUUACUGCCUAAAUGAACUAGGGGAAUCUCCUAAUUUGUAUGCUUGAAGUCUGAAAAGUUUUUUUGGACAGCAUGCAAUUUGUUGUCCAUCCGUAUAUUUGCUAAAGUUGAGCCAGCAUCAUAUCCCUAACUUUUUAAAUUACAUUGAACAUAUUAUAUAUAAUACAUACAUAUUAUAUAUUAUACAUAUUUGUUUUCGUCAAAAUGACGUUCCUAUAGUGAUUCCCAAUGUAGUGCAUUUGGUUUUGCAGAAGAAAGGUAUAUUAUGUCUUUCCUUUGUGCAAAUCUUUAAGGAAUUGUUUAGAAAACAUAUACAUCUGGGGAAAAAAAAACUCAACCUGCAUUUGAUCUAGAAAAUUAAAUCUGUAAUCCUGCAAUGGAUAAAUUUGGUUUCGCAUUUGAAAAAUAUAUUAGCCCUAUAAAAUUUACAUAAAUUGAUGCAGAAACAAAUAUAGUUUGUAAUUAUUUACCUCCAUUUUUUGAUGGUUUGUCAUUUGUAUAACUAUCAAAUUGAUAAUCCCAUAGUUAUUACCAAUGUAAUGCAUUUGGUGUUGCAGAUGAAAGAUAUAUUAGGUAUUCCCUGUGUUUAAAUCUUUCAGGAUUUGUUCCUGCAAUUAUUUAACUUUAUUUUGUGACGGCUUAUUAUAAUUUGUAUAAAUUUUUUCAUAUUAUUUUGUAAAUGCCCUCAAAAGUUCCUGCAAUAAAAACCUAUAGUGGAUAGUUUUUACUUUGCAGCAAAAAGAUAUAUUAGACAUUCACUGUGUAUAAAACUUACAAAAAAUGAUGCAGAAGGAAAUGUAUCCGGAAAAAUUAUUGCCCUGUAUGUUUGCUAGCUAAAAAUUAAAAUUUGCAAUUAUUAACCUCCAUUUUUUUAUGGUUUACUAUAAUUUAUAUAAUAUGUUCCCUACUAUUUUAUAUAUACGCGUAACAGUUUCUUAAAUAAUAGCUUAUAUUAGUGAAAAUCAUAUAUUGAAUAUUACUCUUUUGUUUUCCCCUCUUUUUUAAGUGGAUAUUUAUGGAAAUUGCGCCCACAUUUUCUUAGGUCCUUCCUGGAGAUUGCGUAUUUAAUAUUAACAUUUUGGUUUUUGUUCCUUUCCAAGUAUAUAUUGAUAGAUUUCAUUGACAUAUUUGUUGUGCCUUUGUAUAAAUCUCAAUAUUAGUUGAGAUCAUGUACUGCAUAGCGCAAUCAAGGAAAAAAAACAUAAGUAAAAAAGGGUGAAACUAUUAAAUCUUGUCGAAUGACUGCUCAGUACGUUUGUACUCUGUAAAUUUAAAUAUCCAAUUAUUUAGCUUACAAUUGUUUAACUUGGGCUCUAAAAAUUAAUAGCUAUUUCCAAUGUAAUAUAUUUUCUUUUCCAAAAAGAUAUACUUUUUAGAUUCUAAUUUAUUAUAGAAAAAGAAAAUCACCAAGAAUUCAUCCAAAUGUAAAAAAAAAUUCGAUAUAUACGUUUGUUUCGAAUAACUGCUCAGUGCGUUUGUACUCUGUAGAUUUAAAUAUCCAAUUAUGUACCUUGCAAUUGUUUAACUUGGUCUCUAAAAAUUAAUAACUAUUUCCAAUGUAAUAUAUUUUUUUUUCAAAAAGAUAUACUUUUUAUAUUCUAAUUUAUUAUAGAAAAAUAAAAUCAUCAAGAAUUCAUUCAAAUGUAAAAAAAAAGUUAGAUAUAUACGUUUGUGUGAGAAUCUGUAGAGUACCUUACUAAUACUUUCUAUGUUAUAGCUUUUCUUUGGAGCAGAAGAAAACAUUGGAUUCAUACAAGCCGAAGUUUAGUUAGCUUCUUUUUCGGGAAUUAUUUAAUAUAUAUUGUUUUGCCUUUGGUGGUUGGACACGUUUACCUCCAGUAAAAAACUAUUGGUCGACAGCCUCUUCCAGCUAUUCCUAUUCUUCGUGGUUCAAUUCGUACCCCACUUACGGUAAUUUCUAUACGUUACAUUUUGCAUAGCUUUGUCUAGCUUUUUUUUACCCCGUGAAUCGUCAUAUGAAAAUUUAUAUAGCUCUUUUAUUUGGUUUGCCUUCUUAGUCUGGUAAGUUUUUCCCAUUAACCCUUACAUUUGAAAUAAAUUAUUUUAUCUGCUUUUUUAUACCAUUAUUUGGUCAAAUUCUUAUUUGCAAAUGCAUAAAAAUGAGCUGUAAAAUAUUUAAAAUAACCAACUUAGCAGUUUGUUUUUCCCAAACCUCCACAGCAGUGAUUUCCGGGCAUAAUUUCAUGGAUGUUGCCUCGAGCAGUCAAGAAAAUAGAAAACGUCGGAAGAUUAUUCUUGCUCGACAAAGAGAUAAAGGGCUGGCUCAAUCUACUGAAUAUAUGCAUCAAGUUAGUAGAAAUACAGACAUUAUCAAUGUUGGGAGGACACCAGAACCUCCUAAUAUCCCGUCGCAUCUCGCUAACCAAUUGCAUCUUGGAUUCCAAAAUUUUGAAUGUCAAUCGUGCAGAGCUUUGCUAUGGUAUAAUGAGAGAAUUUAUAAAUCUCGGAACGAACGUACCCCGAGAUUUUCACUAUGCUGCCAAGAAGGCCGAGUAUAUUUGCCAUUACUGUCUGAAACACCACAUUUAUUAGAAAGAUUAUUAAGAUGUGAAGGCAGCAGUGAAACCCGAAAAUUUAGAGAAAAUAUUAGAGUAUACAACUCUCUUUUUGCAUUUACCUCAAUAGGUGCAAAAAUAGAUACAGAAAUUAAUAAGAGAUCGGGUCCGUAUGUUUUUAGGAUCAAUGGACAGAAUCAUCACAUAAUGGGCUCUCUCCUACCAAUUGAUGGCCAUCGUCCGAAAUUUGCCCAGCUUUAUAUUUACGAUCAAUACCAGGAAAUGGAGGUUUUAACCCCCAAUAGAUACAGCACUCUGGAUUGCCAAAAAUGAAAUCACUUCGAGACAUUGAUAAGAAGUCUUAUGUCGCAGAGUUGACUAGAAAUGUUUCUGAGUAAAUCCAUCACAAUGAAAUUGUUAAAGAGCAUUUAGGGAUGGGCAAGGGAGAUCGUCCUUUAUAAACACUCACCGGAAUUUUUUUACGUCUGAAGAUGCGAUUUGAUUGGGGUGCAACGCUAGUCUUGACACUUUGGAACAAUAGAGACCAUCCCUUUCAUGCCGCUGAAAUUGCUGGUUUGACGUAAGUUGGUGAUUCUGGGGCUUAGCGUGGCAUCAGGGCAACCGUGAAUGAAUUCAUGUUCUUCGACCAUAAAAUCAGACAGGCUUUAAAGCGUAUUAAGUACCUUUACACAUCCCCUUCUUUUACAUGGCUACUGGCAACUAUCCCCAUUUGUUCCCCCUAUGGUGGAAAGAUCGUUUUAGACUGCUGGGUAUCCAAUGCUAGCCCGACACUCAGGGCAAGAAGACUAACCUCUAGGGCCAACCUACCGAUCGCUGAAUCUUGCGUACCUAUUUCAAAUAGAUUAAGAAGAGGCCAAAUCAUAAUACGAGGGCAAACCUUUCAGCAAUAUAUUCUCCGGGUUGAUGCAUUUUUUUCCUUUGUGUUUAGCAGAAAGACCCCUACAUAAUAUCCAGCAAGAAUCCCAAGGGGGGGAACUUAAGAGGUCUGAAAGUACUGCAUCUCACACGGUACUUCAGACGACGUGCGUUUUUGAGAGAUACCUAGAUGGUGCAUGCUACAAACUUCGGCAACGAUUGUACUCCCUCAAGUCUUUUAACUACCUGGCACCCCCGAUCCCCACAUCUUACGAAAUCACCCAGAUUAUCCCAAGAUCCUAGCCUUGCAUGAUCUGCAGCAUCUGUCGGCCAUCCUGAUUUUCUGUUCAUGUGACCCGCUCUCCGCGUACUGAAUGCCCACAAUGGUGAGAUCCGAGGCUGCCCCUUUCAGAGAUUAUUACCCGCGCCAACAGGCUGAAUAUGCCGACAUUGUGUUUCAGUAGAAUUUUUAAAGACUGAAACGUUAGACGCCUUAGCGACAUGAGGAGGGGAUAUCAACAACCGGUCGAUAUGCGUUGCGGGGAGGGCGUGGCCCAGCGUUUGCUGGAGGCUACACGUCAAUCUGCUAAACUGUGCUCGUUAGUCCUGCGGCGCCGCCGCGCCCCGCUUCGGCUUCUCUAUUCUUUUUUUUCUUGCCGCAAAUCGUUCAUGCUGCUACACUGUAUGUCUCUUUGUCACUAGUCGUCCAUCUCGCUGCUUCUUCUCGCACAGGAGCUUGUAAUACCCUGUGGGAGUUUUCCCAAAAAAAAGGGCGCCCGGGCUUAUCCGCUCAUGGUUGCAAAUGUUUAACUAUCGGGGUGUGCACGGGGCAGAACCAUCAGAAUAUGUUUGACACCCACCGCAGCCAGAGAACUAAAAGCUGGAGAUUAAUCCUUGUUCGGCCUGCGGAAACUUACCGUAUCAAGUUAAUGAAUCAGGUCCCGGCACAGUAUGAGGCAGCUAGUUGCAAAAUUGUAUUGGGUGCCCUGGUCAUCGUGGGGAGCUGCCAUGUUGCUAGACCGCAACUCCGCCGCAUGGGUAUGAUAGAAGGUGGCUGCCCCCGCUUGCUGCCAAAGACCUAUUGUUGCCCAAAAGAAGUAUAAAUACAUGGGAAAACAGUCCAUCACCUGAUCGGGACUAGGACGGCCUAUUUUGUAACCUACGCCAGCGGAGAAAAUUCCAAGAUCUGGUUUUCUUCUUUCUCUUUUUUUGUUUGCGGCUCGUGCUAACAAGAGCCCCUGGUAUGGGAAUUGUAACAGCGAUUGUCUGCAGAAGCGCCUGUACAAACUUGAAGCAAUUCAAUCAAUCAAUCUCGGCUGCUAUUANNNNNNNNNNNNNNNNNNNNNNNNNNNNNNNNNNNNNNNNNNNNNNNNNNNNNNNNNNNNNNNNNNNNNNNNNNNNNNNNNNNNNNNNNNNNNNNNNNNNUAUACACUACUUUGUACUCACACACACAUGCCACACUUGUUCUCUGAGUGUUCAAUUCUAGCAUUCUUGACUCAACAAUGCCACUCUCUACAUUCAUAUCCACAUGUCACAUUUGUUUCUAAGUUCUCAUUACUAUAUCAAAUGCCACAAUAUCAUAAUUGCACUUGCCUAUACUUUUUAGCACAUUUUACAACUUGCCAACAUGCAUAAUUUCAUCUAGUAUACUCCACAAUAUCAACAUGCAUAUUCCAUUUAUCAUAUUUCACAAUUUGUCUAUAUACAUAUACCAACUAGUAUAUUUCCAUAAUGUUAACAUUCAUAUGCCAUCCAACAUGUUCCAUGAUUUAUCAACAUGCAUAUUCUUUAUCGCCCAAUGGUAGGCAUUAUGCAACUUAACAUUUUUCUCAUGCAUUCACUAUUAGCAUUUUCCUUAAUGUAUUAACAUGCACAUCUCAACGUAGGUAUUAAACAUCAAACAUAAUAAGGUUCAUGCAUCCAUAUUAUCUUAUGCAACCUACCACUAUACAUACAUGCAUUAAUAAUGAAUAUUACUUUGCUUUGACAUGGAAGCGAGCUAGACAUUUUGGUGAGCACAACCCACCUCAAAUCGCUUUCCGAUUGCUUUUAGUCACUUACAAUCGGCCCCCUGCGGCAUACGUGACCCGAUUCGGCCCGAACUCGCACUCGACCAUCUAACGGCCACCAAUCCAUAAUCCGAAAAUUUAAGGUCUAUAACUUGAUGCCAUGAUGCUCCGGAUCCGUUUUUAUGGAUUUUGGAUGUCGCUUCGGCCCUCUAGGCGGAAACGAAGCCAAAACGUCCGUUUCUUCAAUAUCUUCGCGUAGGCUCGACGAAUCGCUGAACCGACUUCACCAACACGUCAAAAAUACCUUCAAUUAGGUUUACAUAGGGUUAAAUUAGAUCAAGCCCUUAUAUUUUGUAAAAUUCUAUUUUUGAGCCCUAAAAUGCACUAUUGUAAGAAAUCAUCAUAUAACCUUUUAAUUCAUGCAAUAGUCAUCCAUUUAGCAUCUAAGGGUUCCUCUAAAUUCAAUUAUAGAGCAUAUAAUUCAAACCCUAGAACUCCACUAUUUUAAAUCUAGCCUCUACCCAUGCUCCAAAUAACCCAAAUUAAAUGGAGAAAACAUGCUAACAUCACAUUAGAGGCUACUAGAACCUCAUACAUAAAGGAUUUAUUUGAAAUCCUAGUUUAAAUCAAGAGAUCUCACCUUAGGCCACUAUGCCCAUCAAGCUAAAUCCACCAUUAGAAAGCUUGCUUCACCAUUGGAGAGCUCCAACAUUAUCUCCAACAUCAUCUCCUCCAAAAUCCCAUCUUUAGGAGAGAAAACUAGAGAGAGGAGAGAGAUAUCUAGAGAGAGAAAGGGAAGUUUCUCUCUCCCUCUCCAUGCGUGUGUGUGGUGGGUGUGUGUGCGCGUUGGUUGGUUGAGGGAGGAAGAAGAAAUGGGAAAAAGACCCAUUUUCAUAAGUCAACACCCCUCAACACACUACUCAACCGACCGUCCCUAGAGCAAGUGGCAAAGGGCUUGGUGGUUGGUACCCGAGACCCAAGUUCGAAUCCUAGUUGAUUCACAUUUUCAGCUAAGUUUAUUUCUAAAUGAAAUCCCGACCAGCGGUAGCGCUGCUACCUAUCUUCUCUUUCAAAAAAAAAAAAAAAAAAAAAAAAAAAAAAAAAAUCCACCUCUCAACACACUACUCAACUUUCAGCACAGGUACAUAUAUUUUUCGCCUGCCCUUCUGAAUGUCCGUUUGAGCUCAAAUUUGACAGUCAGGCUUGGUUUUACUUAACUUAACGAAAGAAACUUUAAUCUUUCAGUUUCGACCACAUUUGGUCACCGAAAGCUCUGCCGAACUGUAAUCUCUAGCACAUAGCAGUCGGAUUUUAUUUUUCACCUUCCGGGUAUCAGAAUGACAUGAAACUUUAAAUCUAGCUUCAUAAAAAUAAUUUUGACAUAUUCUCCAGUUUUCAUAAUUUUCUGACACUGCAUUUUCUGCUAAAAUAUCAGCUCCGUUUCUCACGGAAAAUUCUAAAUCUUCUGUUUUCGUUCCGAUUUUAGCACGAGUCGUUUCCGACUUAUAUUUUACUUCUCUAAAUCCAAUAAAAAUAGUAUCUCGUACUAUUAGAGAUACUAUUUUUAUUUAUUUUUACUUUUUUAUCAAAAUCCGGUAUGUUACAACCAUGAGCCAUCUGUAUCAACAAAGAACACCAUCAAGUAAUAAGGGUCAGCGACAUACAACGGAACACAAGCCAAACAACCCCGUACUCAUGCACCUAUACACCUUAGGUCUUUCUAUGGGCCAGCCUAACCAGUGGUUCAGUUAAACAUUAAUGAGAAAAAGGUUGCAACCAGUGGUUCAGUUACGUUGCCUAUUUUAUUAUUUAAAUCAUGAGUUUAUGCUAUUUAUGUAUUGUUUGAGGGCUUCCAUACAAUUGUGACAGCAUGGGCUGCCUCGGGUAGCAUGAGACCACCUCCUGUGGCCCUCUGGACUGAUUGUCCAAGUCCUCAUUGCUUUCGCGAGAUCGAAUCGUGUUCCAGAGCAUUUUUUCGACAAAAUUGUCAGCAUAAUGUGUUUAUCGGUGUGGGAAUCGCUUUGUGGAGUUGUGGAUGCCCUAGUUUUGUUGCUGAGCCUUGUUGGCUGGUUUUCCUUGUUGUCCCGAAGUUUCAGAGACAACGGGUGAGCGACGGAGGGUUCUGGUGCCGAAAACGGCAUUUUCGGAAAACCGGGAUGUCAUUACGGGUGCGUUUGUAUUUUUAUGCACCUUGGACUUGGGUUUGCUGUCCGACAACCUAAAUUGGUGUGUUUCUGGACAGCGAGUGACUUGGGUUGCUUAUUGUUACCUUCCGGGGUAUUCUCUAGUGUUCGGAAUUGUUCCGGUAGAUUUUUCAAAAAUUUCGACGAUUUCGGAAUUAUGAGUUUAGCAUUUUUGAGUCGACUCAAUGGACCAUGACUUGGUAGGUAUUUCGUAGGUCUAGUCAAUAUUCCUGUGAGCCUUGGGUGUUAGGCUCUUCUCCAGUUCAGGUGGGUGCUUCGAUCCAGAGUCGGUACAUUGGACUAGCUCGGUGAUAUUUCUCAUUUUUCUUUUCCUUGCAUGUUACGGAUAAGCGUGAUUCCACUCGACUUCCAGUUAUUAUUCUCUACUUUCAUCUCUACAUAUGAUAUCAGUAGAGUUGUGUGGUGUAUCUUGCAUGAUCUUGUGGUGAGACCUGAUUGGUCAGUAUUGAUCGGCUCGAUGAUCCGAACAAUCUCUUGGACAUGUGUUAGUUGUUACUAUUCUUGGCUUGUUGCCGCCCUAUGGAUUGAGCAUUUUGCAUCGAUUGUCACAACUCAUUUAGUACUUCACGUACACCAGCGGUUUGGCCACCGUGGGAGUGUUUUUUUUCAAAAAAGUGGUCGUCUUCUCAACUCGUGAGCCUCUUUCUAGGUGUUUGUGGAGAUUGUGUGCCUGGUGGGUAAGCAUACAGUGACAUAGCCUGCGAUCUGCGGAUUUAUAGGGCACAAUGAUUGGGUUUUCGGUUUAUCUACAGUUGAUGCAUAUGUUCAAUAUUUGCAGUAGCAGUAGUUGUUCAUACAUAUUUAUACCUGUUCUCUAAUAUUCGCUACUGUACUUGUUAUACAUAUCUAUCUGUUGUAUCUCCUUUGCCGGUGCGUACACCUCGCCUUCGUCGGCUUGCAGUACCCACUGAAAGGGGAGACAUGUUUACAUUUUCUCACCCCCCACUAUUUUUCAAGUGAUCUCAGUGGUGGGAGUCGGGACGUUGUGUGAGGCGCGAUAGCUAGUGAGCUGUUGAGGUUCCGACUAGUCUUCCCUCAGUUUUCGGUUAUUCUAUCUCGAUCCUUCUCGUCUUAUUGGUUAAUAAACUAGAGUUAUGUAGUUCAGUUAUUCAGUUGUCUGUUGUUUGAUUGUCAGACUUAGUGGUUUUUGAGUAUUGUGUAUGUUUGAUGAUUCUCUAUAUUUCAAGGUGAUAUUAGUGGUUUAUUUGUGAUAUGUAGUUGAUGGUUUUAUCGUACGUAGUUUUCUAACCCUCGUGGUAGCUGGCUUUUCAAAAGUGAGUUUCCGUGUGGGAAAUAGUUUUCAAAUGACUUUCGAAUUUAUUGAUGUUUGCUGUUUUUAAAUAUAGUUUCUGGGUGGGAAACACUUUUAAAGAAUAGAACUGAUUGCUGUAAUGUGCAUUGGCAUCAUCCUUCGCCUAAGGAGUGUUUAGAGCAUGCAUCAACGUAAGGAUGGUUAGCUGAAUGGUUAUCUGACAUCCGUAUUGUGUAUGUUGUUUGUGUGAGUGGAUGAGUGCAUUGUUGUAUAUUUUGUGUUGGUAAGCCGUGCAGAUACAGGAAAGACUCUGCAAGUGUGGACAGAGAGAUUUAUGUAUCUUUGGUGGGUUUCAAACUGGCCCCUUUUAUUUGAAAAGGCUUUACAAAAAGGACGUCGAGGCGUGACAGGCGCUCCGACAACCUCCCUCCGCCGCCACACACCAACGACGGGAUCGGUGCUCCGCUCGGCUCCAAGGGCUGGGCCAACGAUCGGGUUUCGUUGCGGAAGGAUAAACAGGCUGAGAUCCUCAGCAACAUCGAGCUCAUCAUCGCCCGAGUUUGGUUCUUGUUUUCUUGUUGGAAUCUUGGCUCUAUUCUCUGCUCCUAUUUGAUGAUCCUCUGCUUGCUUGUCUCUUCCCUUUUGCUAUGUAGGAAAGUUGAAAGAGAUCACAUUCUAGGAAAUUUUUGUUUGACCUGGCUUUGUUAUAUUUCACUUGAUCCUCUGCUAUGUAAAACAUGGUUUGGCCUCACUUUCAUACCUAAACUUUGAUUUGUUGUAUCAGGUGCGCAAACUUUUAAAACGUUUUAAUUUUAGUUCCGUUGUCUGUCAUUGCUGGUCCCAAACUUUUAAAACAUUCCAAUCAGAUGUUUACUUGAAUUGACUAAUUUAAUACAUCAUUGUUGGUUUGAAAAACUUCAAUGUCAUUAGUCAGAUGCGUUUAACUAUUCCGCUAAUCUUCUUUGACUAAUUAAUUUGCUGUCAUAUUCUAGCUAUUAUUUGUGUGUUUCAGCAAACUUCUAGGCUGCUACUUAAGGUAAAUUGUACCACUAACCUCUGAACUUUCAGGCUUGGUUUAGGUUUAAUUUUGCUUCUCAAACCGUCAAAAUUUAUAUUUGAGAUACCAAAUUCUUGUAAGAGUUUGAUUUUUCGUCCCCUUAUGUAAUUACCAAUUGAGAAUUUACAUACUACCCAUUUAUUGAUCAAUUAUCGUAUCACAUAUUUCAAUCCUACUAUCUAUUGAGUAAGAAUCUUUUCGCUACUUAAAAAAUAAAAUGUUCGUGAAAUUUGUAGUCUACAAAUCUAAGAUGAACUAGGUGCAAGUAGUAAUUUUUAACUUCAAAGCAAGGACUAUAAUGAAACAUUUAUCAAGUUUAGAGAAUAAAAUGGAAUAUCAUUAAAAGUUAGGGGUCUCAAAUAUCAGGUCUCAAAGAUAUUUUCGACAUCAUUGGCCUAACGAUCAGAAGGUUUUAAAAUUUGUAAUUUUAAUAGUCGAUAUAAGAUGUUUUCUCGUUUAACGGCGUAAAAAUAUUAAAAUCAAUUGAAUUUUGGUUAGAAAAUUUUUUAAACUAUUUAGAACAAAAUCUAUAAUCUUGAUCUUGAUUACAAGACUUCUAUCAUUACUUGUUAAAGAAUAUUCAUUUUCAGCUGUUGAUUUUUGUACCCACUUGAUGGAUGAGAGAACAAUAUAGAAAAAAUAUAAAAUUUGGUUUCUAAAUGAUUCAAGUGGCAUAGAUAAUAUUCAACGGUACCGAUUGUCGAUUUGGGGGCUCUAUCAUCGAAAAUAAAUGAAUGGCAACGGUGCCCAUUUACCACCGAUUGCAUUUCAACUCAACUCUAUAUAUUUAUACUUCAUGUGUAAACACUUUAAUAGUUUUAACUUUAGAGUCUCAGCUUGACUUUGCAGAGGCUUGAACCGAGUUCGGAUUGUCGUUGGUCAAACAUUUUAAGUGUCAAGCCAAAUCCCACCCAUCAAGUUUCGAGCUCAAUAACACGGAGCAGACCACCUAAUCUCUAGCCAGCUUUACAAUUUAGCAAAUAUGAAAAAAAAAAAAAAUACAAUAGAACAUAAUGAGACAUGAAGUACAUUGACCUUUCAGAGCAGAGCCCUUACAUUUAUAAGUCUCUUGUGUUUCACAUCAACUCUCUUGUUUUAUAAUUUUUUUUUCCUCUCUAAAAUUCAAAAAGAUUAAUUAUGUCAAUCAUUAGAUCAAGGGUAUAAAAUGUACACUUUUUAUAAAGAAUGUACUGGUAUGGUUAUCCCCUAAAAGAGGUUGUAUGGAUGAGUAUCUUAGAUGAAUAUUUAUUAGUAUCCAGACUAGAUUUAUAUCUUACUUACUCGAACUAUAAUGUGGUUAACAAUAAUAUUUUGAUAAAUUACACUUUUUUUCCUCAAACUAUUUGGCGCAUGACACUUUGAUCCUCAAGUUUUAAUUUAUUAUAAUAUUUCGCUCGAACUUUUUAAAUUAUUAUAAUUAAGUCCCACAACCCAAUUUAUACGGCUAAAUUUUGACAAAUUGUUGAUAUAAAAGUAAUAUAAAUCUUAAUUAUUGUCACAUCAUCGGUCAUCACACUUCAACAUCAUUUCUAUAUCGACAAUUUAUCAAUGUUUAGCCGACUAAAUUAGGUUGUAGGACGUGGUUAUAACAAUUUAAAAAGUUUGAGUCGUAAAUUACAAAACAAUUAAACUUUGAGAACAAAAAUGUCAAACACGCCAUAAUUUGAGGUCCAGAAAUGUAAUUUACCUUUAGGGCGUGUUUGGUUCGCUUCUUUUUCACCAUGGAAUCGGAAUCGGAAUGGGUGAAUCCGUUUGUGGGUGUUUGGUACACGGGAGUCCCAUUCCAAUUCCGAUUCCCGAGUGGAAUGGGAAUGCCCCAAUCACCCCUUUUUUCAAUCCGGCCUAGGAGGCCGGAUUGAAAGUUGAAUCCGGACGGAAUGGAUAUUUAUUCGGAUUAAAUUUAUUUUUUCAACUUUUUAAAUUAAAAUAUAAGUUAAAAUUUUAAAAUUAAAUAUAUAAUUUUAAAUUUUAAUUUAAACUUAAAUUAAAAAUUAAAAUUUAAUCAAGUAUUUCGAAUCUAACUUAUGAAUUUGAAUUUAAAUUAAAUUUUAAUUUAUAUAANNNNNNNNNNNNNNNNNNNNNNNNNNNNNNNNNNNNNNNNNNNNNNNNNNNNNNNNNNNNNNNNNNNNNNNNNNNNNNNNNNNNNNNNNNNNNNNNNNNNNNNNNNNNNNNNNNNNNNNNNNNNNNNNNNNNNNNNNNNNNNNNNNNNNNNNNNNNNNNNNNNNNNNNNNNNNNNNNNNNNNNNNNNNNNNNNNNNNNNNNNNNNNNNNNNNNNNNNNNNNNNNNNNNNNNNNNNNNNNNNNNNNNNNNNNNNNNNNNNNNNNNNNNNNNNNNNNNNNNNNNNNNNNNNNNNNNNNNNNNNNNNNNNNNNNNNNNNNNNNNNNNNNNNNNNNNNNNNNNNNNNNNNNNNNNNNNNNNNNNNNNNNNNNNNNNNNNNNNNNNNNNNNNNNNNNNNNNNNNNNNNNNNNNNNNNNNNNNNNNNNNNNNNNNNNNNNNNNNNNNNNNNNNNNNNNNNNNNNNNNNNNNNNNNNNNNNNNNNNNNNNNNNNNNNNNNNNNNNNNNNNNNNNNNNNNNNNNNNNNNNNNNNNNNNNNNNNNNNNNNNNNNNNNNNNNNNNNNNNNNNNNNNNNNNNNNNNNNNNNNNNNNNNNNNNNNNNNNNNNNNNNNNNNNNNNNNNNNNNNNNNNNNNNNNNNNNNNNNNNNNNNNNNNNNNNNNNNNNNNNNNNNNNNNNNNNNNNNNNNNNNNNNNNNNNNNNNNNNNNNNNNNNNNNNNNUAGGGAUGUCAAUGGGUAUGGAUACCCGAAAUUUUAUCCGAACCCGAACCCGAAUGAAACCGAUAUAUCUGAUGGAUAUGAAUAUGGAUUCGGAUAUGGAUAUCAAAAAUAGAAACCCGAAGGAUAUGGAUUCGGAUAUGGAUUUUGAUUGUACCCGAUCUGAACCCGACCCGAACCCGAAUUUAUUUUGUAUUAUAUAUAAUAUAUAUAUAAAAAUUUGAUGUUAUAUUUGAAUUUGUAUUUUAAAAAUUUAGAUUUAAUUUUGAAAUAUUGAAAAAAGAAAUAAUUGUUUCGGGUUCAAAUUUUCAGGUUCGGGUUCGGGUUUCGAAUUUUUGGUCGGGUUCGGGUUUGGAUAUGGAUUUUUAAAAUCCGUCGCUUUCGGGUUCGGAUUCGGGUUCGGGUCUCGGGUUCGAAGUCGGGUUCGGGUUCGAGUUUUUAAAAAUCUGCACCGAAUUCGACCCGUUGACAUCUCUACACGGCGGAGAAAAAUGCUUUGCAUACAUUCAGUUUUGGAUGUAUAUCUCCAUUUAAGUAAGGGCCAACUUUAUUUGUUCACCCUAAUAUUAUUACUUUCUUUUUUUUUAAUAUUAAAAAUUUAAUUAGCAUGUCUAAAAUUUAAUAUUAUAAGAUACACAUCUCAAAAGCAUAUGUACGAGUGACAUUAUUUCACAUGGUAAUAACGACCAUCCUACUCAAUGUCACGUCAGCAGUUCUUUUACUAGUAGGAGGAAGAAAGGGAGGAAAAAAAAUAAUGAUGAAAUUAUUGCUUGUAACAACCGGCCUCAAUAAUUUUAGGAAAAAACUUUAAAUAUCGCUUAUAUGGUUUCGUAUUUUCUCACUUUAGUAUUUUCUGAUUUAAAAUGUAUCACUUUCGUAUCCUAUAGUUUUAUUUUUUUUAUUAUUAUCUUUUUUUACUAUUUUUUAUUAAAUCAGUAAAAAAAUUAAAACUAAAGAAUACUAAAUUAAAUAUUCAACAAUGUAGAUAGAGUAUCUGUUUUGUAUAUGAUUUAACGAAAAAUUAAUAAAGAGUCUGACGAAAAAAAAAAAAACCACAGGAUAAUAAAUUAAUACACUUUAAACAACAAGAUACCAAAAUGAAAAAUACGAAAUUACAGGGAUGGUAUUUGAAGUUUGCCUAUAAUUUUACAAAGCAACAAACAUUUAAAGAAUAUUCCAAUUCUCUAAAUACAAUUUACAAUACCAUAUAAUGCACAAUCUCAGAAAUUAUAAAGCUUAUAAAUUAACCACCAAUGCAUAAAGUAGUCUCAAAAUUAGUGACACAGAAGGGUUACAUACUUUCACGAGUUUACAACAAUUAUUUAGGUCUCGGUUCGUAUCAUGUCUGUUCUUUAUUUUUUUACGACAAAAAUAUAUAUAAUUUAUCUAAACUAUGAAUCAGUUUAAAAUAAUGGGAUAAUUAACUAUAUACCUCUCAAAAUUUCGAAAAUAUAUCAUUUAUUCCUACUUUUUUUUUUCAAUAUACCCCUUAUAUGUUCCUCCGUUAUUCUAAAAUACUCAUGCUACUUCCGUCCAUUAAAUUAACUUGGGUUAAACAUGAGUUAAAUAUCUACUAGAGUUAAAAAAAAUCAAAAUACCUCUUUUAUCCUUAACAUAAGGACAAAUACUCUUUUACCCUUAACAUAAGAAUAAAUAAGAAAUAUUGGUAAUAAUAGAAGGAUAUAUUUGAAAAGAUUAAAAAGCAAAAUACUUCUUGUGCUCCUAACUUAAGGGCAAAUAAAAAAAAGUCGAUGAUGAUAGAAGGGUAUAUUCAAAAGAACAAAAAUAGUAAUUUUAUAGAGAUAACAGCUAUUGCUAACAGUUCAUUAACAAAUUUAAACUCUAGGGGUAUAUUUGAAAUAGGUUGGAACGUGAAAAGAAUAUUUUCAAUAUUAGCCUUUUAAGAAAGAUAAAUCAGAAAGUAGAAAAUUUUUCAGGAAUAUAUAAGUAAUUGUCCAUAAAAUAAUUAUUCAACCUUUCAAAAUUUUGAUUUACUAUCCAACUAUUUAAUUUGUUUGACUGGAGUCAGUCAACAUUAUUUUGACUUUAAAAUUAAAUCUAAUUACCUACUUUAUUGAAUUUAUAAUUGCAAAAAUUAUAUGAAUACUAUCUAACCUGUCGAGAGAAGCAACGUAUUCAAAUUUUAAAGUCUAAUUGUCAUUGAAGACUCAAAUCAAACUAAAUAAAAGGUUAAGUAAUAAAAUUAAAAUUUUGAAAGUUUAGUUAACCAUUUCAAAAUGGUCCGUAGUCCAGUGUAAAACAACAACAAUAACAACAAUAAUAAUAAGAAAAAAAUAUAGAAAUUUCUACAAACAUUUGUUUUUAUACAUUACUCUCUGUCCGUUAAAAAUCCCCGUUUUAUUUCUUAAAAUUUAUAGUUGUACUAUUUAACUCAAUACCAUAACUAUUGCUAUAUAAAUUGUGUGAUAUAUAUAAGAUACCUAAUUUAUCUAAUAUAUUCUUAAAAAUGGUAGAGGUAUAUAUGAUAUUUUUAUUUUUCUCAAAUUAGGUAACUUUCUGAGAAAGAUCUCCUAUUCUUUCUACUAAUUGACUUUCGUUUUUCAAAUAAAUUUUAAGAAUAAAGUGACUUUAUCUAUAGUUAUUCAGUUAUAUCAUAUGUAUGAAACGGUGGCGAAACAGUAAUAAUACGAGAAUACCUGCUAAAAUUUUAGGGUGUGUUUGGUUCGCUUCUUUUCCAUCAUAGAAUCGGAAUCGAAAUGGGUGAAUCCGUUUGUGGGUGUUUGGUACGUGGGAGUUCCAUUCCGAUUCCGAAUCCCGAGUGGAAUGGGAAUCCCCUAAUCACCUCUUUUUUCAAUCCGGNCCUAUUUUCUCUUUUUCUAAACUAAAUUAAGAGAGAGAAGAGAAAUUAUUGACUACACCCAGGACAUGUAUGGUUUGCUUCUUUUUCACUCUGAAAUCGGAAUCGGAAUGGGUGAAUUCGUUUGUGGGUGUUUGGUACGCGGAAGUCCCAUUCUGAUUGCAAUUCCUGAGUGGAAUGUGAAUACCCCAAUCACCUCUUUUUUCAAUCCGCCUAGCAGGCCGGAUUGGAAGUUGAAUCCAGACGGAAUAGAUAUUUAUUCGGAUUAAAUUUAUUUUUUCAACUUUUUUAAUUAAAAUAUGAGUUAAAAUUUAAAAAUUAAAUAUAUAAUUUUAAAUUUUAAUUUAAACUUAAAUUAAAAAUUAAAAUUUAAUCAAGUAUUUCGAAUCUAACUUAUGAAUUUGAAUUUAAAUUAAAUUUUAAUUUAUAUAAAGCUUUAUUCAAAUUUUAUUUCAAACUUAAAUUUAAUUUAUGGAUUAAAAUUAAAAGUAAAAUUGUAAUUUUAAGUUUGAAUUUGAAUAAAUCAAAAUUUAGUUUCAUAUUUUGAAUUAUCCACUCAACUUCAAAGUUUAAUUUUUUUAUAAAAAAAUAGAUUUAAAAUUUUCACAUUAUUUCAAAUUUUUGAUGUAAAUGUUUAAUAUUUAAUUUUUAAUUUGAAUUUAAAUUAAUAUAUUAUAAAGAUAAUGUUAGUAUAUUAAUUUGAUUGCGUUUUUUAUAUCCACCUGAACCAAACACCGACAAUGGGAAUGAUUUAUUCUGAUUCCGAUUCUAGUGAUGAACUAAAUAGAAUUAAGUAAUGAGUCUGUCACGCCCCGGGAUUCCUUUUUGGUUAAAACACGGCGGAAAUUUUUUUUUUUGAAAACCUGACCCCAGGGUAUGCCAGACCCGCCACAAAUACAGGGAGUCCACUGUUCACACGGACAGAGUCUCCCCUGUAUUUGCACGGCGUCGCACAAGUACAAGAUUUCCAAACAGAGUAUAACCAGGAUACAACCACACCACAUGAAUAUACAAUACACAACAUUCAUUCACCAUUCACCAAAUAUUUAUUAUUCAGUGUUUAAACAUAAAAACCAUAAGAAAACUCUUUUGAAAGCUGUUCCCCACACGGAAACCUUUUCUUUUAAAACGCGCUACCACGAGGGGUAGAAAACUAUUUUUUUUUCACAAAUUUCACAAAUCCCUUUAUUACAUUCAUGAAAAUCCACAUUUUCAAAUGUAAUAAAAAUACUGAACCAUAUAAGCUAUCUGAGCUAUAUCAACAUAAUAGUAAGGGUAGAAACUAAACCGAAUAACCUGGGUCGGAAGCUCUAUCGACCGCUACGUAUGUAUCUCACGUCUCGUCUCAACCCUCACCGCCCGCGAUACCUGAAAAAUGGUGGGGGAGGUGAAAACAUGUAAACAUGUCUCCCCUCCCAGUGGGUACCGCAAGCCGAUGAAGGCGAGGAGUACUCACCGGAUCAGGAAGAGCUAAACAACAGUACGGGUCAGUAGAAAUACAGUAGCAAUAAUAAUGAAUGAAAGAGACAUAUAUAUGAAAGAAGUACAACUACCGCUACUGUAAUGGACAACUGAAUGUAUACAUGUAACAAGAUUAUAGUAGCAAGACAAUGUAAUGAACAGUAGCAAUAAUAAUAAAUGAAAGAGACAUAUAUAUGAAAGAAGUACAACUACCGCUACUGUAAUGGACAACUGAAUGUAUACAUGUAACAAGACUAUAGUAGCAAGACAAUGUAAUGAAAGAACUGAAGGUAUACAAGCAACAACCGCUACUAUAGUUAUAUGCGUCAACCGGACAAGAAGUCCAAAUAUACCCAAUCUGGUACCUGCUAUAUUGGUCCGCAGACCUCAAGCGCUGCCGUCACUAACCUGCACCGACCUGAUUCACCCGCCCCAUAGGACGACCCAUCCGGAUAAGUACACCUCCGAUCGGUGGCCAAACCGAUCCGGUGUCGUGAAUACCCCCAAGUGCUGUGACUAAGUCAUGCUGGUAUGCUCAAUACAAAAACCGGCUAAAACCGGUGCCUAGGCCGAAGCCAGAAACAAGGGCGUACAACGCCGAACCUCGAUCAACCAGAUCGAAACACGUGACGAGAGAGUCAAUGUGUUGCCUGGACCCAAGGUCCACAGAGUCCAACCGACCAACAAGGUCACUGAUACGAAGUACGAGAACCGACCAACCAGGUCAACAGAUACGGAAUGCACAACCAACCAACUAAAUCAACAGAUACGGAAUGCAAAAAUCGACCAACUAGGUCAACAGAUACGGAAUGCAACAACCGACCAACUAGGUCAACAGAUACUAAAUGCAACAACAGACCAACUAGGUCAACAGAUACGCAUGUAGAUAGAACUACACUACGUCCAACAGAUACAGCAUGCAACAACGAGUAGAGUUACGCUAACUUCCUACUCAGGAUACUAAGCAUGCAAACAACGAGUAGAGUAUAACGAAUAAACAAGGGUGCAAGGCUCAAUAUACUAUGCGAUAGUAACAACAGAAGAGUAAGGGUAAGAAACCAUCACCAAGCGUGCACCACUGUACCAACGUCGGAUCGAAGUACCCAUCUGUACGGAUGUCGCGUCUGUUUCCUAACUGCAAAAGAAUGCCGACAGGACCUAUAGAGGGUCCACCGGGUUAGUAUCUAACCCACCACUAAGCACCACAGUAUCCACAACCCCACAAAUAAUUUCACGAAGAUCGGUUUCCCAAUACCGAUUACCGUAACUCGCCGGAAGUCCCGAAAACCACACCGGGACGCCGUCGGGACCCACUAAGUGUCCCGAAACUCACCGACUCGUGUCACGAGUCACCUGUUUCCCCAAAACACUCCAAUUUGGAUGUUUUGGCAGCAAACACAAGAUAACACCACUACGCAAUUAUCCCCGAAAAAUUGUACGAAUUCGGGUUCCCAAAAGUGUCUAUUUCGACACCGGAACCCACCGUCGCUCACCCAUCAUCACCGAACCUACAAAAUGAUGAUGGUGACCAGCCAACAAGGCUCAGCGAUAAUUUACAGGAUAACCAAACCACGUCGGAAGAAAUCCGAACCGAAACCGCGUUCUUUCGGCGAAUUUUGCAGAAAAAUACGCCGGAAUCGACUUUUCGAUUUCCGCAAAAGCUACAGGAUCAUGGACAAUCAGUCCAGAGGUCAAACACACUCAUACACACUGCCCACAGUAGCCACAAGGUGUACGAUUGCACAAAAGCCCCUGUAUUUACAUAAAAUCCCAACAUUUUAUGUAAAUCGGGCGAUAAAAUAGCUCGUUCACGCAAACCGAGGACUUCUAAGUUCCACCGAGACAUGUACUGACAGGUCUCGAUGUGCCGGAGGCCGUGCUCAUGGUCCGGAGCACAUCGGCUCACUGUGGGAGGCGCGGGAGCAACCCGAAGUUCUGUGAACAGCGCGCAGUCGGGGAAGAUAGCGCCAAACAGGGCUAACCGGACACUGUUGAUCCAAAGUGAGGUGAGCACUGUGAUCAGCACUGACCAACGAUCACCGUGCUCACCUCCGGAGGCAUCAGGCCAGCCUCGGAUCGCCGGAUAAGCGUGCGCAAACCCAAAAUAGCAGCCAAACAGGCUCUAUAGGGUCGACACCGCCGAAACAGCGGAACGGAGUCUCCCCGGCAGAAUCUAAGGUGAGCACGAUGAUCAGAAAUUUGCUAAGGUCAUCGUGCUCCCUUCCGCAGAGAUCGGGGGGCUCAGGAAGCUCAGAACAAUAAACCAUCCAAACUAAGCCCUAUUUCGGGCUUGGCCGGAGCAAGCUUUGCUCCGCCGAUACCGCGCAUCGGCCGGCCACCGCGCCGGAGCCCAAGAUGGGUGCCGGGGGAGGUGAGGAGUUACCUGCCACUUCUCGGUAGCGGCGGAGAGCGGCGGUGGCGACGGCGGAAGCAAAGCGAGCCCGCACUAAAUACUAGGCUCGGUUUCCACUGGCAAUGGCGGCCACGGCGGGGCGCGGGAAGGCUCUAAGGGGCGAACGGAGAGGGUAGUAAGAAGGCCCGCAAAGGGGCAAAAACAGAAAGGAGGGUGCAAAAGGAGUGGCGGCCAUUCGAUGCGCGGCGCGGGAAAGAAGCCGCGGUUUGCCUCCCCAGCGGGGUCUGGGCGGCCACGGCUGGCAUAGACGGCGGCGGCGGCCCGCAUGCGGCGGCGGUGACCGGCGGGGAAGAUUCCGACGAGGUCGGGGCGAUGCUGGCAGGGUGCAGGGAGGCAAUGCAGCCUCGGCCAAGGCUCCAACCUGAGAAGAACAGAGGGGUGGAGAGAGAAAUAGAGAGAGAGAUGGAGAGGGAGGAGAAGUAGCUAACUCCGGCGGCCGGAGACGCAUGCCGGCGGCCGGGGUACGUGCAGUUAGGGCAGGGGAGGUAGAUGUGUGUGAGAGUGUGGGAGAGGGAAAUGAGAGGGUGAGUGAGAGAAGUGGUCCCCAAGCCUCUCAUAUAGGCAUAAUUGCAAAAAACCCCCUCAACUUUCCAUUCAUGAAGCAGCGCUCACUGGGCAUUUUUCGCAGUGAGGGACUGGUCCCAGGUCGGGGAGACCGGUCCUCGAGAGCCUCCCCCUCGGGCAGAGGAAAUUUCAUGUUCGGAAAUGGGUCCCUGCUCGAGAGACCGGUCCCGGGAGAUCGGUCCUUGCUUGAGAGACCGGUUCCUGAGAGUUGGAUUUUCGGGACUUAGCCAAAAUUUGGGCUUUUCUCGCGGGGUUAGUGUUCGGGGACCGGUCCCUCACUGCCAGAGACCGGUUGCAUCAGGGAUCCCCGCCACCCCAGCCGAUGGGACCGGUCCUUCCCUGCCAGGGACCGGUCCCCGAGAGCAAUCCUGCUCCAGUGCAAGUUUUGCACUGGUGUUCUCGUGGACUCUUCCUUAAUACACUUUAUGCAUUUUAAUCACUCUCGAACUUUCCAAAGCCUACUCACUCGACAAUUAGUCGAUUCUAAAACGAAGUCUAAUCCUCGAAUUUUGAGAAUUCAUUUCCUUACAUCUAGAGAUCAAACCAAGACAUUUUGCUAUAUGUCACAGUAGGGCACCCAAAAGAGAGAUUUUGCUGAAGUAGGGUUUUAAUGCAAAUUAACCCUAUGUAAACCUAAAUGCUAGGUACGCAAACGCGUUGGCGAAGUCGGUUCUACAAUUCGUCGAGCCUAUGCGAAGUUAUUGAAGAAACGGACCGUUGAAGCUUCGUUUUCGCAUGGAGGGCCGAGGCAACGCCCAAAAAUUAUGAAAUCGGAAUCGUGGGUACGUGGCAACUAACCGUAGACCUUUAAUUUAUGGAUUGUGGAUUGGAGGCCGUUCGGGUGGUCGCGCGAGAGUUCGGGCCGAACCGGGUCACGGCUGUCGCGGGAGGCCGAUUGCAAGUGACUACAAGCAAUCGGGGUGCGAAUUGAGGUGGGUUGUGUUUACCGAAGCGACUAGGUCGCCUGUAUGUCUAAGAUUAGUGCUUACUAUUGAUGCAUGUAAUGGUAGCUAGUGGUAGAACACAUAAAUGCAUAAGGUGAAAUGCUAUGUUAGGCUACCAAAUAAUGCAUAUGGUCGUAAUGUGAGAAUGCUAGGUAAUACAUAAUGACAUAGUGUAAAUAAUGCUAUGUAGAAAGCAUAAAGUAAAUAACAUAUGUUAGUCAUGUUGCAUGUAUAGAAAUGCUAAUGUGAGAAUGCUAAGUAAUGCAUAAUGACAUAGUGUAAAUAAUGCUAAGUGGAAAGCAUAAAGUAAAUGACAUAUGUUAGUCAUGUUGCAUGCAUAGAAAUGCUAAUGUAAGAAUGCUAAAAAAAAUGUAUGAUAAGUAUGUUAUAGGGAUGCUACAGUAAAAAUGCUCAGUAAAGGACACGUGCUUGUGGACAUAUACAUAUACACAUAGAUCGAGCGACAUUGAACCUAGUGUGAAGGACAUAGGUUGAGUAUGAGUAAUAUCGAACCUAGUGUUAAUAAAAUAGGUCGUACAAGUGUGACAUCAAACCUAAUGUUAGAGAACAUAGGUUGAGAUUAAAUCUAGAAUUAAGUCAACCUAGGUUGUGAGAUAAAGAUAGUGAACCUAGAGUUAAAGUAACCUAGGUCAUGUGAUACAAGUGUUAAACCUAAAGUCAAGUGGACCUAGGAUGGAAAGGACAUUGGACCUAGAUAGGUCGAUACUAUAGAGUUAAGACCAACCCUUGAGUUAUGUGAAAUGGAUUCCGGAAUCCUAGAGCUUUUGGAACACCCAAAGUGGUGUUGAACGUGUGCGACGAUUUCACCGCCCGGGGCCAACCAUUGACGUAGCGUGUGCGACGAUUUCGCCGUCGGAUGGUUAUGCCGGUUUGUGGAUUAUACCGCCGCUUGACUUGAGCCAUUGUCGUAGCGUAUGUGCGACGAUUUCGCCGCCGGGUGGCUCAGUCAUAGAGUGCGGCUGGUUGUGGUAGGCUGAGGUGCAUGCGAGAGUUCCUUCACCUCUAGCUGACAGAGCGCGGAUUAUCCGCAGUUGAUUGACUCAAGACCGAGUCGAGUGGCAUAGAUGGCUAAGGUAAAGGUAACCUUAGAAAAGAAUCGCCAAUGAGCAUAGUGUGACAAGGAAAUAAAGUAAAGAAGGGCUAACGAAUAAGAAUAGCUAAGAAUAAAGAAUAGAGAACAAAGAAUGACUAAGAAUAAGAGUAGAAUUUAAUUAAUCUACUUAGUUUGUUGCAUAGAUUUCAUAUUGCAUAUUGUGAGGCAUGACACGUAGUUCAAUAUCGAGUAAAUGUAUAAAUAUCUGUUUUAUGUUAUUGGACCAACCUGUUGCAGUGCCUCAUUAGACCUAUUGGUUGAGCUUUUUUCUUAGGUGGCCGUACCCACUGGGAAUCAUGGAGUUGGUUCUCACCUCACGUUGUUUUGGGGUGUUACAGGUACGCUCGUGAGCGGCGCAUCGACGCAAGGCAAGGGCGUAGCUCCGUAGAUAGCGCCCAACCUAGAGACCAGAGAUAGCAGUACCCCGAGUUGGCAUACCCUAGGGGUAGAGGGAAAUGAAAAGAACAAGAUGAAUGGAUUAAACUUAUAAUAAAUUAUUGUAACUCGGAUUGUAUUCGGAAGUUGGAAAAUGUAAUAGUAAUUGGGAUGUAAAAUGUACCUAAAGAUGAAUGUUGUAAUAACUUAGUUGUUUUAUGUUUUUGAUACUUCCUUAUACAAUCUUUGAUUAAAAUGUGUUCCUGGUUGGAACCUCGUACAUUGUAUUGAUUGCGACGCCUAGGACGUACAGGAAAAACUCUAUCUGCUCGGCGGUCUGUCGGCGUGCCCGAACCCGACCAAAUAGGCGGGGCACGGGGCGUAACAGAUAAGAUGGUAUCAGAGUAUAAAGUAGAGAAUGGGAUGGCUUAAGUGAACGUAGGAGACCCUAGGAUAGUGAAACCAUAGAGGUUAAGGCUCGUGAGAGACGAGGACAUGUGACUUGUGGCGAAAGGAUUAUGGAUUUGGUCGUGUUAUAAACCUCUAAGACGGAUAUUAGAGGUAGACUCGAGGUGUCGUUUAUUCUCAACCGAGGGUGUUCAUGUUGGGUCGACACAACAUGAAACUGAGUGAUGAGAAUAGACGCCCUUGCGUGACUUUCGCUCGAUUGACUCUUGAGUCGUUGUUGAUUGUCUCGUGUUCGACCCAAGAUGGUCGAGAACUAAUCGAGUUGUCGUGUUUCAGGAAACAAUUGCACCGCGUAGGCGAUCUUCAUCCAGAUCGGCGCUGGAGGGGACAAGUUGUGUCCCUGAGCAAAUCGACGCGAGCGGAGACUCAGAGCUUCAUGAUCAGUUGGCCACACUCAUGGGAGUGAUGAGGCAACAAACCGAUGUGGUGCAACGGCAGCAGAAGGCUGCUAUGUGCCAGGAGGAGCGCAUGAAAAGACUCCAAGAGACGGUAGAUUAGCUGGUGAUUGCACCGGCUGCGGCUCGUCCAGAGCGGCUGGGAGUUGCGGCGUAGAUAUUUCCGUUGGGGUCGGGUGAUUCGACUCCUACCGGUUCAGAGGUGGAGGUGGAGAGGGAACAAGCUUUCGCGGCCCUCAUGCCUUUCAAGAAGUUUGAUCCGCCUAUCUUCGAUGGAGAGAAUGUCGAUCCGCGGAUCGUGGAGAUGUGGAUUGACUCCAUGGAGACUCUCUUUGAGGAAUUGUAUACCUUGGAGCAGGAUAAGGUGAACCUAGCCGUGCAUUGUUUGAAACAGUCGGCGAAGGUGUGGUGGAAGGGCAUUAAGCGAGAUCGAUCGCCUAGUUUCCCUCAUAUGACUUGGUAAGAGUUUCGAGGAAUGCUAUUCUCUGCUUAUUUUUCCGACAGUGAAAAGCGAAAGCUUCAGGAAAGAUUCCGGAAGCUGCGAUAAGGAGACCGCUCGGUCAGGCAAUACGAGUGGGAGUUCUCUCGUAUCGUGCAUUGUGUUCCGAACGUGGUGCGGGAUGACAAGGAUAAGGCCAAUUGCUUUGUGCGUGGACUUCAGCCAGAUCUUUACAAGGCUGUGCUUGUACUUAAGUUGCAGACUUUUGCCAAAGUUCUGGAUCGGGCCUUGUGGAUAGAACAAGGCAAUGCGUCUCUGCAGGAGGAGCGCGAGGCGUACUACUGGGAGAAAGGGAAAAGACGACCAGGGAGUGGAUCCGGUGGUUGGUCUAGUUUCCAACGGACUUCGAUGGGUUCGCACUCGCAAUCCCGAGCUCCGGGGACAUACCGUAUUCGGUCCUCCGCGAGAUGAGUUAUCUGUGGAGGCCCUCAUUUCCCACAGCAGUGUGAGCAGCGUGAGGGCAAGUGCUUCAAGUGUAGGCUGCCGGCUCAUUUGCGGGACGAGUGUCCGCAAGGUGACGGCCGGGCCUUGAUAAUGACGACGGCCUAUUCCUCUCUGGGACAGCCUACAGGUGUGCCACCUACGGCAUGGUCGGGAGAGCGGCCGUUGAGGACAGUGCAAUCAGAGGGUUCGCGGCGAGCGCCAAGUGGCCAUGGGUACGCGACCCGAGUUGUAGAACCUGCUGCUGAUGACGUCAAGGUAGGUAUGAGUUAAUUAAGCAAACUUAUGCUUUUGCAUAAUCUCAAGUUUGCAUGCAUUUAUCAUGUGGUCAGUUGCUACUAUUAUGCAUUAGUAUAGUAGGGACCAAGUGGACGGGUAGAGGUAGAUACUCGGGCAUGUUUAUGCGGCGAGUGUAGCGCCUGCUGGGGCAGGUAGAGAAUUAGAUGGCAUUAGCAAAUUGCUAGUAAUGAUUCUUAGACGAGAAUGAGACUCGCGAUGAGGAUGAGAUGGUGAAGCGACUCUCAGAGCAAUGCUUAGUAGAUUGCGAGAGUUGAGCUAGGAUACGUGAGGAUACCCGAGUACUCCGAGAAUUUCGGAUAUCAUUCCGAUAGAUCGAACAGUGAAAGUGAAUCACUGUUGAGAGAGCGGUUGGUUGACACCAAGUUUGGCCUGUGGGACUAGUAGUACCUCGAGUUGAGGUGAAUAAGUCAUGCUCGUGUGGCUAGUUACAUAGGCAAGAUUGCCUAAUGCUUGACAUAGUAGGAACGCUGUAGAGGCGUGUAGAGUGCUCGAGUAUAGGUGCUCGUGGUGUGCAGUAUUGAUUCAGCCGGAAGUGUGUUGGCAGUAGUACUUCAGCUUUGCUAAGUGUGAAGCGGGCCAGGGAUCACUCAGGGGGCUGAUGGCUCGCACUAGGUGCUUAGGAGUCGGUAGUGGUACGUGACUCGAUAGAGUAUGUCGUGUAGGACGACGACGGCGGGUAGUGCUUGGGGACGACCCGUGCCUGGACCAUGUGUGGACUGUGGAGCCUGGGCCCAUUGGGCAGGUGCAGUUAGCUGUAAGUGGCUGCGGCCCGGUACCUACGGGUAGGGGGACAGUUUUUGGUCAGGGCGGAAGUCCGAGCUUAGACCCGGGGACGUGGAAUGCCACGUGAUGGAUCAUGAGAUCGAGGAUACACCGAGUGUGUAGUGACCCAACCCGNNNNNNNNNNNNNNNNNNNNNNNNNCCCGUAGACUUGACGUGGUUACGGGUCAUGAUGCUCUGUUCGACGUGUGUGAGAAUUUUCAAGUGAGAAUUUAGCGGUCAAGUGGCAGGAUUGGGUCGACCCAGUGAGCGAGGGACGCUAUGCGAUAGUUGUAAAAGGUUAGGCUGUAGGCCUACGUAGGGUGGUGACCUUUAGUAUACCCGAGAAACCGAGAAAUGGCUUGACCGGUAACUCUGUAGUGAUGUUCGGGUUUUAGACCUCAACGAACGGAGUGUUCAGUGAGUUCGUUGUUGGAACGAAAUCGAGUUGAUCGCAUCCGAAUGUCGAGUUAAUCGCUUGGACAUUAUGAUGGCAAGGGAUGAAGGCUCUUAUGAGGCAUUGAGCUAAGUGGAUACCACGUAGGAAUUGGAGCUUAGGGAUAAUGCUUUUUUAUGUGGACUAAGUUAGAUGGUGCGAAGUGUGGUCAUCAUCGGAUAGAAGCAAGGACCCGUUGGUGAUUGGAGGCACAUCACGACGGAGCGAUGCACCAACUGAUAUUGCUUCAUGUGUAAUGCCAGGUAUUGAAUCGGAGUGAACUCUCGAUUGAGUGUGUAAUGCAAAAAUGGUUCUUUGGAUGAUGGAAUGCACUUUUAGAGUUAUACGUAGCAAAUGUGAUGCAGUUUGGUUCACAUCCCAUGUAAUGGGCUUGAAUUGGUUCAAAAAGUGAAAAGCCUUAUCAAAGAAAUGGGGAUGAUUAGUCACCGCUCAAUUGCUCGAGGAGCAGAAGUAUGCGGUACUGAUUGUGAAACACAUCUCCAAACUCCCGUACUACGAGGAUAUCCUCAAUCCUAGGGGCGUUUGUAUCGCCCCACAACACAACAGUAGCCAAAUAGGCUACGCAGCCGCUACUGAUCAACUGUCUAGCUCGAGAGGAGCUAAUCGUCAUCGCAAACAGCGAACUCUUGCAUUCUCGGUACACAACCUCCGCCUGCCCUGGCUCUCUAAACGUCACAGUUCGAUUCUUGCAAUCGAUAGUGUAGUACUUGGUGAACCAGUCCAUGCCCAAAACAACAUCAAACUCUCCGAGUUUAUGCAAAGCUAGCAAGUCCACGGGCAUGACCCAACUCCAACCCGAACAGGACAACUGGGGCAAAACUCUCAAAUAUCCAAAGAGUGAUCGGGUACUACAACUCGUCCCGGAUGCAACAAAGAUGUCAAUGGGAUGCCAUGCAACUCGGCAAACAGCCGGUUUAUGAAUAAAUGCGAUGCACCGGUAUCAAAUAAUGCUCGUACUUGAAUACCAUAAAGUAAAAUAAUACCUGCGACCACAUUCUCGGCUACCGCCGCCUCAUCAGUCUGGGCCGCAUACAUGCGCCCACUCGGGGCCUGUCGUGACCCCUCCGCCUGCCGUUGAACUGGCGGCCGCCCAGCCUGGUGAUGCGCAGAAAGUGUCCCCUGGCUGGGACCCGGUAAAGCUGGUGCAGAUGCCGAAGAUGGCGCUGGUGCUGGACCCCUCGGGCAGUCCUACUGGAAGUGGCCCUCCUGGCCACACAAGUAGCACCUGCCCCGACUGCGUGAACACUGCCGUGGAAAAUGGGGAUCACAGCAGAUCACGCAGCGCGAAGCCUGGCGUCGAUCAGGUCCUCCUCGCUGAGUAGACUGGCCACGUCCUUGCGACUGGCUCCGGUGUCUCGGAUGUCUCGGCGGCCUCCCAGAGUGCGCCUGGCUCGCACCCUCAGCCACGGGCCUCUUGCCCUUGCCCUUAUCCAAGGCCUCUCGCCGUUUCUGCAGAUCUGCUGCUCCACUCUUCACAAUGAGCGUGCGGUUCACAACCUCCCGGUAGGUUUGGAGGUUGGAAGACUGAACAAACCGAAAGAUCGAAGGCCACAGUCCCCAACAACGAAGGGCACACAAUGAAAAAGCCGGGAGAACUCUCUCUCAUACUCAGCUACGGUCCUGUCUCCCUGGCGCAGAUUGCGCAGAUCCUGCUCCAUCUUCCUCUUGACGCUGUUAGGAAAGUAAUACUCCAGUAGGAGUUCCUUGAACCUCCUCCAAGUAAUCGUUGUCAGAUCCGUGCUGGGGUUGUCCUGGAUGUCCAACCACCAUCUGUAGACCUCGCCGUCCAAAUGAUGUGUGGCGAGCCACACUCUGUCCCUCUCCUCGAUGAAGGUGUCCCGAAACAGCUUCUCCAUAUGCAUAAGCCAUUUCUCCACGAUCUAGUGGUCCACGUUCUCCCCGUCGAAGAUCCGUGGACUACAUCUCCUGAACUCACUGAGACGCUCCAUGAGCUGAUCCCGCUCAGCUCCCUCAACCAUCACGGGAAAAAUCGCCCCCGCUACAGGUGCUCGUGCUGGUGGUGCUGCGAUGUCCUCCUCGCGAGGUGCCGCCGCCGGUGCCGUCCGAGAGGUGUCGAGUGCAGGGGACGACACCUUGGGUACGACCACCUCUACUGGUGCGGGUGGUGUAGGGAUCUGAGUCUCCCUGGCAGCCGCCUGCUGCAGCAGAAGGUCCUCUAGACGCUUCAUUCGUGCCUCCUGCCGAAGCGCCGUGUCCGCCUGUCGUGUCACGAAAUCAGUGAGGGCUGCAAGCUGGCCCCUCAACUCACGGACCUCGCCGGAUCCGGAGGUAGCGGAGGUCUCGACCUCCUCAAGGUGUGCCGCAUUAUCCGGUCGAGCAGAUUGAGAGCGUGUGAUCGGCAUUGUCACUACAACAUCAAAAAAGUGCAAGUUAGUACAACCCACGUUAUCGUAUCCCCGCUCAAAUAAACAAUACCCAAAUCAUGCGAAAGUAAAGAAGUGUUCUUCACUACUAACUCCCGGUGUUACGUUGUCGGCCGCCAACGUAACCCUCCGCGAAGUUAGAAGCAAUACACUCCGAUCCAACUCCAACUUUUUAGAGUUAUCAUGAAAACCAAUCAUAAUACUUUCGCUUACAAAUCGAAUAGAUCUCGUCUCUCACGAGCCUAUUUCCUAUAGUCCAACCGGCCUAAGAUUUGCUAGGUCCACUGAGACUCAACCCUAGGCUCUGAUACCAAAUUAAUCUGUCACGCCCCGGGACCUGCGGAGGUCCUCCCGGUAGCGCGCCCAUACCCGCCAUAUGUUAGCACAUAUAAGGCGUCUACAAUAACAGCGGAAAAUAAAACCAAAGAUGAUCUACAACUAGCGAUAUCAGAGUAAGUAUACAUCUAUCAUCUAUAAUAAAAGUAGAUAGAGCAAAUUAACAAUAAAGGUAAAUCAUAAAGUUAUACAAUAACCAUCUCCAAAAGGGUACUCAAAAGGGUGGUCUCUAUACAUAGAUACAACUCUCAACCUCUCCAAAAAGAAAAUAACGAGAGGUAGACCACCUAUCAACGGGUCCCUCGAUAGCAAGCUAGCUCGUGGCGAUACCCUUUCUGCGGUCUCUAGACUCUCCUGGCGUAGAAGGCUCUGAAAUAAAAACAUGAAACAGAGGGCGUAAGAACUAUAAUUUAUAGUUCCCAGUGGGCAACUACUGACCUCAGCUCAAUGCACCACUAGGCCCCAAAAGAAAAGGGUAAAUCCAAAAAGCAACAAUAAUAAUAAAUAGAUUGCAUUUAUGAAGACAUAAUAAAAUACUAAGCUACUAUGUCGCAAAUAAACAUGAUGUCAUUGUGUUGUACAUUUACUUUAUCAAAAUGAAGUAUGUCCAAGCAUGACUAAUAUGUCCGAACAUAACGAGCAAGUAGGUAUCAUGAUCCAAAAUAUCUCAAUAUAUGAUGAAUAUGCUCUAUCAUGGCAGCCAAGUAUACUAUGUGCAACAAAUAAGACUAUCAUGUAUACUACAUGUCCCAACACUAUGCUAUAAGCAUGUCAAAGUAAUCAACCUACUAAGCCUAUCUAGUAGUGAUUGUCAUUUUCUGGUUCAAUGUCAUUGUUUAUUCAUGUGCUAGGACCUACAUGAAUGUAGUCCAGCUUUUGCCACCUAAGUGUCGGUGGUAGCUCCAGCAUUCCCACUCUAGGAAUGAGUCUAUCCCUCCCGACCCCGUAGGUUUCUCGAUACCGCAUGAGUGAGCAUAAGUCGCGUAGGCCAACUCCGGAGUGCCGGCUUGUAGGGAGCGACCCUCACAAACAUGUGCAAAUGAGCACAAAUGGCAAGCAAGCGUAGUCAACGUCUCAAAAGUCCAAUCAUCAUGUCUCUUAUAUGGUAAAAGUCACUAGCAUCUCAAAGAUCUAGUUCAAUGUCUCAACGUGAUGUUCCAACACUCACUAUGCUUAGUGCCUCUUUAUGACACUUAAGCUUUUUAUAAGUUAAACACAUUUCAUAUUCUAUAUUCCAUUCAUUACAUUAGUACUAGGUUUUCAUGUAACCCAAGUUCAAUGCCCCUUUAUGACAUUAGCCCAAUCAUUCUCGAUCAGUACAAGUCCCCAAGCCUCUUAAGGCUUACUAAAGUCCCUUAUGUCUCAAAUAGGUAUAGGUUUAAAUGCAUGAAGCAAUGCUCAAUUUCAUUGUAAUAAACAUGGUCCCAAGUCCGACAUAAGAAUGCCCAGUGCUAGUGCAAGCUUCACAUGCAACUCUCUCUCUACUAUAUAGAGGUCCGAAAAUUCAUUAUACAUGACAUAGCGAUAUUAAGCAUUCUAAAAUUCACAAUAAAUACAUUUAACAUGAAUAUGCAUGAAUUUUCACUUUACGAAACAUAAAAUACCAAAUAUGAAAAUUUCUCAUAUUGUAGGCUAGGUCAAACCCACCGAAACUUGCGCAACCCUUCGUUUGCCCCAACGAGAGUGUCCACUAGCCUCCUAGCACCCUAGAGGUAUAGAAACAAAGGUUAAACGAACCUUACGAACAAUUAUAGGAUCAAACAUUAACCAUCUAUACAAAUGGGCUAAAAUCUCACCUAUAGUGGAGAAAUCCCUUUCCAAAGCUCAAAAGGAAGCUAAAUUCCUUCCAAAGCAAUCUAAACCAAGGUUCUAAAUCCAUCAAGAGAGUUCUAAAAGGAUCUAAUCUAAAAACCCCAAAAUAAAUCAUAAAUCCCAAUUCUAGGGUUUCAUAAGGUAGAAACUACCAAAACUUGAUCCAAAAGAGAGAUCAAGGGUACUAACCUCACAAGAUGCCCCAAACCAAGCUCCAAGUCCUCUAGGGUUGGAGUUCCUUCCUCUAUCAAGCUCCAACUAGAGCUUCAAAGCUUCACCCAUGGUGAACAUCCAACAAGGAGCAAGAAAGAGAGGAAGAGAUGGAUCAAAACUAGUUCAAAUCCAUCAAAAAUGGGAAAGAAACCAAAGGAAGGAGAUCUCACCUUGUCUCCACUGGUCUAGGGCUCAAAAGAGCUCUCUAAGGGGCUGGGGUGAGCUAUAUAGGGUUUGCAAUAAUUGCAAUUAACCCCAUGCCCGAAAACUAGCUCACAUUGCAUUGUGUACCGUUACACGGGCCCGUGUACCGGUACAACACCUGCGAAACAGCCAAACCCAAGCCUCGGGUUGGCGUGCAGGCUGCCAAUGUUGAUGGUUGUACCGGUACAGCCAUCAAUCUGUACCGGUACACAGCCCUGCUGAAGGCUACCCGAGAGCUGACCAAAAAUCCAUUCUUUUGGAUUUUGGUGCCAAGUUUUAAACCUCAAUUCUCGGGGUACGAGCCAUAGGUCGGAACACUGUCUACGACCUAUCAGAAAAUCUGGAAAACCUCAGAACACAAACCAAACACUCGAACCUCGCAAUUUACAAAGGUCCAGUGCGUUACAAGUGAACCUAGAGUUAAAGUAACCUCAGUCAUGUGAUAAAGAUGUUAAACCUAGAGUCAAGUGGACCUAAGAUGGAAAAGACAUUGGACAUAGAUAGGUCAAUACUAUAGGGUUAAAACCAACCCUUGAGUUAUGUGAAAUGGAUUCUGGAAUCCCAGAGCUUUUGGAACACCCAAAGUGGUGUUGGGCGUGUACGACGAUUUCGCCGCCCGGGGCCAACCAUUGACGUGGCGUGUGCGACGAUUUCGCCGUCGGAUGGUUAUGCCGGUUUGUAGAUUAUACCGCCGCUUGACUUGAGCCAUUAUCGUGGUGUAUGUGCGACGAUUUCGCCGCCGGGUGGCUCAGUCAUAGAGUGUGGCUGGUUGUGGUAGGCUGAGGUGCAUGCGAGAGUUCCUUCAUCUCGAGCCGACAGAGCGCGGAUUAUCCACAGUUGAUUGACUCAAGACCGAGUUGAGUGGCAUAGAUGGCUAAGGUAAAGGUAACCUUAGGAAAGAAUCACCAAUGAACAUAGUGUGACAAGAAAAUAAAGUAAAGAACGGCUAACGAAUAAGAAUAGCUAAGAAUAAAGAAUAGAGAACAAAGAAUGUCUAAGAAUAAGAGUAGAAUUAAAUUAAUCUACUUAGUUGGUUGCAUAGAUUUCAUAUUGCAUAUUGUGAGGCAUGACAUGUAAUUCAAUAUCGAGUAAAUGUAUAAAUAUUUGUUUUAUGUUAUUGGACUAACCUGUUGCAGUGCCUCAUUAGACCUAUUGGUUGAGCUUUUUUCUUGGGUGGCCGUACCCACUGGGAACUAUGGAGUUGGUUCUCAGCCUACGUUGUUUUGGGGUUUUACAGGUACGCUCGUGAGCGGCGCAGCAGCGCGAGGAAAUGGCGUAGCUCCGUAGAUAGCGCCCUACCCAAAGACCAGAGAUAGCAAUACCCCGAGUCGGCAUAGCCUGGGGGUAGAGGGAAAUGAAAAGAACAAGAUGAAUGGAUUAAACUUGUAAUAAAUUAUUGUAACUCGGAUUGUAUUCGGAAGUUGGAAAAUGUAAUAGUAAUUGGGAUGUAAAAUGUACGAAAGAUGAAUGUUGUAAUAAUUUAGUUGUUUUAUAUUUUUGAUACUUCCUUAUACAAUUUUUGAUUGAAAUGUGUUCCUAGUUGGAACCUCGUACAUUAUAUUGAUUGCGACGCCUAGGACGUACAGGAAAAACUCUGUCCGUUCGGCGGUCUGUCGGCGUGCCCGAACCCGACCAAAUAGGCGGAGCACGGGGCGUGACAUAAGAAAUAUCUAUUUUAAUUUUCAAAUGCCUUUUAAUUAGUCUUACUUUUAGUGCUUCUGAUAAUUACGUAUUGGUUUCUUCACUAACCUGAAAUUUAGGAAUUAAGUACUUUAUUAAUUAUAUCUAUAGCGAUAAAAGCUAACGAGGACUUUUCUUUAUCGUCAGCGACGAUGAUGAGAACGCUACCGUCAAAACUACUAAAGAUAAUACUUUCAAUCCGAUUAUUUUUUUAUUUACAAAUUCUAUACUGAUGAUAAUAGAAAAAUAUUACUCAUGUUUUUAAAAUAUUAUAAUGAGCUUUCCUUUUAUUUUAAACUGGUUUAUUUAUUUUAUUUAUUUGGUUUAAAUAUUUUUACAAAGAAAUGCACUUUAGUUUUAUUCUUAAUUUUUAUUUGUUCAAUACUGAGAUAAAUAAUAUUUAAAAAUAUUAAUGCUCAUAAUUAAUAAUAGCUACAGAUGAUAAGGUGGUUUGUAUUUUUCGAUAAUUAUAUAUUAUUAUAGAUUAUUUUUUCAUAUAAAUUUUAAUAUUAAAGUCCGCAUUAAUCUACAUGUCGUAACGAUUAAGUAUAAUAAUAUCUACUCACCAUAUCGCGCAGGUUGCUUAACUAGUUAUAUUAUAUCUCAUACCAAAUUAUGUAAAAUCAAUGGAGUUGUUAAGACUAUUGUUAUAUUAUAUCUCAUCUCGAAUUAUAUGAGGUGAGUAAUUUUAAGCCUUCUAAAUGUCGCUGGCAUGUUUGGCGUAACUGAAGUAUUUAUAUAUAGGGUUUAUUGCAUACUGGUCUUUGUAAAUAUAGGCCAUCUUUGGUAAUGGGAUAAUUUCUGCAGGGUUAAAUUUUUUUACUCCUAGAAUAUUGAUAUGUCAAUAUUCUAGGCUAGAAAGGAAUGAAAAUAAUUUUUUGUUUGGCAAAAUUUUUACUUAUUUUAUGCAAUAGACAAAAUGAUGUCUAUUAACUUUCUUGAAAAAAGAGAAGAAUAGUUAGUAAAGUUAAUUGAAAUAUUUAAAAACACCAAGUUUGCCCUUAUAUAUGCUGUUAAAAUCGGAACGGCGAAAAAUAAAUCCAGAAAAAUAAUUUAAUGCAAAAAGCGAAAAGAAAAGAGGAAAUAGCACACCGAUAUUUACGUGGUUCGGCCAACGGCCUACGUCCACGGUCGAAGAUGGGGCAAAUAAUUUAUUAAUACCGAAAGACGGAGUACAAGAAGAUCUCUCAAAAGAUCAAAGCUUAAUUAGAUCGAAAACGAAUGAGAGACGCGCCGUGUAAAAGACCUCAAACCUGCUCGACUCUCUUGACCGUACGAAAAGGUAAUAUGCCAUGAACACGAGAAUCACCCCCUCCUUAAUUAAUUAGCAUGGUAAUAAAAUGCGACUCCUUGAUCGUACGGACCUCCAUGCAUGAGGGUCUCGCUCCAAAAGGCCUUAAUUAAUUAGCGCAUGCACCAAAGAGAGUCCUGUCAGCACCAACCUUUUAAUUAAUUUGCAUAGCUUAAAUUUUGUCGCACCGGCUUCAUUAACUUGGCCGCAUAUAUAUAGGAUGAGUCUUCAAAUUAGAGUCCAAUUGAAACUCUAAUUUAAUUGGAUUUCUAAACACAAGUCUAAUCUAAUUUUAAAUUGAAAUUAGAUUCCGACUCAUAAUCCAAAUAUGCCAAAUUAUAUCUAAUCCCAAUUAGAUUAAGAUUUAACUCCAAUUUAGAUAACUACAAAUCUAAACCAAAUAUAACAUAUACAUUGAAUUUUUUUCUUUGUAUAAUACAUAUACAAUACUUGAUAAAUUUUAAUAUAAUUUUUUCAAAUAUAAUUACAAUACAAAAAUUAUAAUUAAGAAAUAAUAUUUUUUUUUCUGCAAAGCAGUACAAUAUGCAGUAAGUAAGAUAAUUUUAAAUUAAUUUAUACAAUUAGAAAUCUAUAAUAACUAAUAAUAUAUGCAAUAUAACUAAUUUAUUUAACUGCCAAUAAUUUUACAUAGUUAAACAAAAAUCCUAAUAUAAACACAUUGGACUAACCAAAUCUCUACAUACUUGGUAUUGGGAAAAGAGGUAAGAGUUUUGGUAGGUGGGUAAAGUGGCGCGGUUUUCAAGGCGACCCAAAAAGAAGGCCAUGCUGCCCCUCGGGUUCCAGGAAUAAGGCUUCGUUUGGGAUUGCGGGGAGAUUGCAUUACGUGCGGUGAGAAACGACGAUGGAAAAAUACCCUGUUUGUUUCCGUACAUAAUAUUGUGUUCCGCAUAUCGCGAUGAGUUGGUUACGAUAUAUUUUCUGCGGUCCCACCAGAGAACGCAGAAGCAUAUCCCUAUAUACUUUUUCCUCAACUCCAUUUUAUCUAAUAGCGUUAGAUAGACCUCAAUACCAACCUAACCCUAAAUCUUAUUCCAUGGUUGGUAAAGAAUUAAAUUAACGAGUUAUUCCAGUGAAAAUUAGAAUAACCCGUUUUGACCGGUAUAAAUUAUUUCGGUAUUUUUUUUUUCCAUUUGGCAGAAUAACGAGAAUAAAUUUGAUUAUUCUGAAGUUAUUCCGUUACCAAACGGAGCCAUAGUGAAUUACAAAUAUAUUUCUAUAAAGGCUAAAUUACAGAAAACCCUCCUGUAAUAACCCGGCUUUUCACUUUCCCUCCGUGACAUUUAAAAACCUACACUUUGCCCCCUUGUAAAAUAAAAAAUAUUCACAGGGGGGUUACGGUGUGUAAAAUGACCAUUUUGCCCCUCGCCAUUUUCGUCUUCUUCCUCAUCUUCCUCAGCAGCCACUUCGAUCGGCCUCGAUUCCCACCUCAAUCGGUCGCGAUUUCUCUCCAUUUCCUUCUCCACCUGCUUCCCUUCUCGUCCUGCACCCUCGCCGCCCCUCGAUUUCGACAAUAGUAGGGAGGAAAUCGAGGUGGGUGUUGAUGGAGAGGUAGGCAAGGGCAACGAGGGCGAAGGCGAGGCGGCAGAGGAGGACGAAGGGGAUGUGGGCGAGGGCGAGGCAGUGGAGGACGGCGAGGCGGCGGCGAGGCGGCGUGUCGGAGGGAGGCGAAGCAACAAGGAAGAGGGUGGAGGGGUAUUUUCGACAUAAAAAAAUAUUUUAUCACGAAAUCCUAACGGUAGGGGGUGAAGUGCACAUUUUUCAUUUUACAAGAGGGCAAAGUGUAGGUUUUUAAAUGUCAGGAGGGGAAAGUGAAAAAGCGGGUUAUUACAAGGGCGUUUUCUGUAAUUUAGCCUUCUAUAAAAUUUGACUUCCAUUUAUUGUUCCUAUAAAAGUUCUAAUAUUUUCAAAAUCCUAAUAUUUUCAAACAUGUCUCUACCAUAAUCCAUUAUAAAAAUUUAGUUAACCAUAGAUUAAAUGUUUCACCAUAUUUAGUUUAUGAGAUAACUCGAUAUUUUUACCCCUUUUAUAUUAUAUUGUUGUAGUUUUUGGAUGGAUAUAUUUGCGAUGGCAAAAUUAACAUUUCACUUGUUUGCUGUUAAAAUAUAAACAAUUCUCUAAACGGUAACAAACCAGAGGAAUAUAUAUUUGAAAACAUUAGAACUUUUGUAGGGAUAACAUAUAAAAGUUAAAUUUUAUAAAAGGGUUAAUUGCAUACACGUCCCUGCAAACAUAGUGAAUUGCAGAUAUAUCCCUGCAAAACUCAAUUUCCAUAUGUUGUCCCUGCAAAAGUCCUAAUUUACACAGAUAUGUCCCUCGGGUUAGAAUCUGUAAGGAAACUAUUAAUUUUUUAAAAGUUUUCAUGUGAAAUGACCUUUUUGCCCUCGCAAAUAUAUCCUUCCAAAAUAUUCCUCUUUCCCUUCUCUUUUCUUCCUCUUCGUGCUGCCGAAGCGGACGGCGGCGGCGGCGCGGGGUCGGGUUCGCCGGCGACGAAGAAGAGGAAAGAGAAAGAAGGAGAGGAAAAAGAAGAGGGAAGAGGAAGAAGAAGAGGAAGAGAGAAAAGAAAGAGGAAGAGGGAGAGGGUUCGCCGCCACCGCCACCGCCGCCGACGCAUCUCCUCCCUCGCCGGCGACGAAGAAGAGGGCAGAGGAAGAGGGAGAGGAAGAAGAAGGGGGAAGAGGAAGAGAGAGAGAAAGAGGGAAGAGGAAGAGAAAGAGGGAGAGGGUUCGCUGCCACCGCAUCUCCUCCCUCGCCGGCGAUGAAGAAGAGGGAAGAGGAAGAGGAGGAAGAUGAAGAAGGGUAAAACUGUCAAUUCACGUUAUUAAUUAACCAUGGUUAUAUUUUUAACUGUGGUUAACAAAAUUUUUUUAACAGACCCUAAUGGCAGGGACAUAUCUGCAUAAAUUAGGACUUUUACAAGGACAACUUAUGGAAAUUGAGUUUUGUAGGGAUAUAUCUGCAAUUCACUAUGUUUGCAGGGACGUGUAUGCAAUUAGCCCUUUAUAAAAAUAUAUUUAUAAUUUAUUAUAUUUAUCACAAUCUGUAUGCAUUUAAUCAUCUAUAUAUCAUAUACUAUAUAAUAUAUAUAUAUAUAUAUAUAUAUAUAUAUAUAUAUAUAUAUUAUAUAUUUAGGUUAAUUGCAUACACGUCCUUGCAAACAUAGUGAAUUGCAAAUUUAUCCCUGCAAAACUCAAUUUUCAUAAGUUAGUCCCUGCAAAGAAGUCAUAAUUUAUUGCAGAUAUGUCUAUCGGGUUAGAAUCUAUUUAGGAACUGUUAAUUUUUUAACAGUUUUUUGUGAAAUGACCUUUUUGCCUCACAAUAUAUCCCUCCAAAAUAUUCACUCUUCCCCUUCUCUUUCUCUUCCUUUUCGGGCCGCCGGAGCGGACGGCAGCGGUGGCGCGAGGUCGGGUUCGCCGGCGACGAAGAAGAGGAAAGAGAAAGAAGGAGAGGAAGAAGAAGAGGGAAAAGAAAGAAUGAGAGGAAGGGGGAAAAGAAAGAGGAAGAGGGAGAGGGUUCGCCGCCGCCGCCGCCGCAUCUCCUCCCUUGCCGGCGACGAAGAAGAGGGAAGAGAAAGAGGGAGAGGAAGAAGAAGGGCGAAGAGGAGAAGGGAUAGGAAGAGGGAAGAGAAAGAGGGUUUGCCGCCGCCGCCGCAUCUCCUCCCUCGCCGGCAACGAAGAAGAGGGAAGAGGAAGAGGGAGAGGAAAAAGAAGGGGGAAGAGGAAGAGGAAAGAGGAAGAGGGAGAGGAAGAAGAAGGGGGAAGAGGAAGAGGGAGAGGGUUCGCCGCCGCAGCCGCUGCCGACGCAUCUCCUCUCUCCCCGGCGACGAAGAAAAGGGAAGAAGAAGAGGAGGAAGAGGAAGAAGGGUAAAACCGUCAAUUCACAUUAUUAAUUAACCAUGGUUAAGUUUUUAACUGUGGUUAAUGAAAUUUUUUUAGCAAACACUAACGGCAGGGACAUAUCUGCAUAAAUUAGGACUUUUGCUGGAACAACUUAUGGAAAUUGAGUUUUGCAGGGAUAUAUCUACAAUUCACUAUGUUUGCAGGGACGUGUAUGCAAUUAACCCUAUAUAUUAUUAUCAUAGCUUUUAAAAUUUUUGUUAGACUAAAUAAUUAUUGUCCUGGCAAGACACAACAGAAGGCUGGAGGGAGAGGUGGCCAUAGAAAUAAUAAAAAAUUAUUACUAUUUUUCAUAAAAAUUAUUGUGUAGUUGAAAAACCUAUCACAAAAAAUAAAUGAUGGUGUCAGGCACUAGCACGAAAAUCCAACCAAGCACGCAAUACACCUGCUACACAAAACUGAAUCUUUCGUAUAUACGUUUAAGGUGUUAAUUUAUAUAAACUUGUAGUUAAAAAGGAAAUACUAAAUCUACAAUCUAAAAUGAAUUGUAGGAUAACAAAUUUUAAUCCAAAGGUUGUAAUACUACCUUAUAUGUCACGCCCUAAAUUACACAUUUUUUCGGGCACGCCAACAGACCUGUCGUAUACAUAGAAAUUUUUUCUGUAUACGAAGCGAUAGCUGUACCUGUAAUUAAAUCAAGCUACAACCACAAGGUAAUGAACUGCUAAAUAGAAAACAUAUGUAUAUAUAUAUAUAUAUACGCCAAAACCAAANAGCGAGUACCCAGACAACAACCAUAUGUACAUAAAAAAUUUCAAAACUACCUGUGGAAGGUACUCCUCUAGCACUGUAACCAGGGAAGGGAUCUAGCUCGCGACUCUCUUUCCUUGAUCAGAAUCGGCGACAGCAGCAACCGUAGAAGAAGACUCUGCAAAAAGGGGUUCCAAUACAUACAAAAUGUCUUCUACACCGCUUGCUCCAGCGAGUACCCAGACAACAACCAUAUGUACAUAAAAAAUUUCAAAACUACCUGUGGAAGGUACUCCUCUAGCACUGUAACCAGGGAAGGGAUCUAGCUCGCGACUCUCUUUCCUUGAUCAGAAUCGGCGACAGCAGCAACCGUAGAAGAAGACUCUGCAAAAAAGGGUUCCAAUACAUACAAAAUGUCUUCUACACCGCUUGCUCCAGCGAGUACCCAGACAACAACCAUAUGUACAUAAAAAAUUUCAAAACUACCUGUGGAAGGUACUCCUCUAGCACUGUAACCAGGGAAGGGAUCUAGCUCGCGACUCUCUUUCCUUGAUCAGAAUCGGCGACAGCAGCAACCGUAGAAGAAGACUCUGCAAAAAGGGGUCAACAACUGGGUGUGAGAACUACUGCAAAAAGAAGUAGUCCUCAGUGGGUACCGCUACCGACCUCAACGGCUCACCCACUAAGUCUACAAAAUGGUAUGUGAGAGAUUGUAAGAAAAGCUGGAAACCCUACAGCUAUAUGCCCCUAUACUAUCACUAACCAACUCUAGCUCUUUGUAGAUAUCAAUCCCCUGCAACAACGACUAUACUGUCAAGAGACUACCAACAGGCCUAUCCCACCUGCGUCCGAGCAAUACCGCACACCACCAUUGAGGUAGCCGGUCCUAAAGCACCGUCCAAACAGGGCUGCUGCUACAACAACACAAAAGCACAAAGCCCGACUCCGGAGUGAUACUCGUGGGUGCUACCCAACCGAGUAUACAAGCGUGUCUCUGCUGAGCUCAAUCAGGCUCUCACAAACUAUAAUCAAAGCAAAUGGGUCUAACAACCAACACUCACGUGUCCUUGGCACAAUCUGAUGCAAAUACAAAAUUCUGGGUCCACCGUCAACCGCGACGUCACCCGACAGUUCGAAACAGUCUACACACUUCUGUAAAAUAAACUCGGCAUCCCAGCACGAGCGUAAACCCAUCCUACACUAAUCUGGGUAUCUACCGCAUACAAACUGCAGCAAUACAAACAAACCACAACUCUUAAAACUAAAUCUGAUAGUUUUCAGAAACUGACAGUGUAGGAUCUAUAGUUUUCUCUUAAGUCAAUUCCAAGUCCAACAUGUAAAAUUAUACUACUACUUAACUAAAAAUUCGGAUUUUAAGCCUAAUUCAUGAAUCCGAGUACUAGCAAGAAAUUAAACACAUGAUACAUAUUGACGAUAUAAAAAAACAUAGAAGAUGUUCCGGCGAUUUCGGUAAACUUCAACCCACCUCGACAUGCUAGUCCAACUACGGCAAGAAGUCGAAAAGAGAGGAAAACACGCGCUCGCCCAGCCUCCAACGGCGCAACCGCGACGUCCACGCGCUCGAACGGCCCCCUGGCGCAACGUCGACGUCGAUCCGAGCUCAAGCCGUAGCCUUCACCAAGCACACAAUUAAACUAGAGAGAGAGAGGGAAAGGAUAAUUAUCCUCAGCUGACCAAGUUCAGUCAAUAAGCAUAAAGAGGGAGUAGGUGGCGUAUAUAUCCACCAACCAAAAAGACUGUUCUGCCCCUCACGAACUCAACAUCCCAGCUGGAGUACCGGUACCAGCCCGAUGCCGUACCGGUACUCAGCAUCAAUUAUCGCAACCCGAGAGCAGCAGUUCGAAAAAUACACUGGGGUACCGGUACUCCCCUACAUGGUACUGGUACUCAAUAUCGAAACCUACACUUUGCAGACUUCAAUAUCAAACUCUACUCUCGCGUCACAUUGAGUCCGUUUUGCAUCCAUUUCGCACUAAAACGACUCCGACUUGUCCCGACACUCUCCAGAUGUGUCGCUAAGCCUCAGAUGCUGAAAUCACACAGGCUGCAGAACACCAGGGAUACUACAUCCAACACAGUGUACUCCUGAACUGAGCGCUCCCCCUGCUGUAACUUCUUCAGGUCCUCUUCGAGUUUCUACUUCACGCUGUAACUCAUCCCACCUCAUCUGUAGCGCCACCAAUCCUCAAGUCUCCCUCAUCCUCCUUCAUCAGGAGUGCCCAUCGCCGGCCAAACAGUGUACUCUCAAAUGCACCUGCUCCCACUCCGGUAUAAACAAGUCCUCAAAUAAUUUCACCAUCGCGCUCACCCAGCCCUUUACAACCCAGGGCUCCGCGCAACUACCAUCCAAACACGGCGGAUCAAAUCGACGGAAAUGAGCAAGCCUCUCUGUCAUCCGCUCCUGCUCAACGUCAGACAUCUGCGACGCCUCUCCAGAGAAAGUAACAGGUGCCGUAGGAAUUGUCACUGGUGGUGGUACAACUGCGGCUGGUGCGGCCACGGGAAUAGUCGGUGGUGGAGCUGACUGCUCUAGUGCUCCAGGCGCUGUGCUCGGCGGCGGUGUAAAUGUUUCGCACAUCCUCUAUAACAGUGCCCCCUGCUGCCUCGUCGCCUCAGUUAGGCAGCCAACUGCUCUCUCAGAUCAGGGGGUGCACUCGGCCCUGCUUGCUUAGGCAUUUCAGCUGGUGCGGAGAGGUUUCGCGUCGACAGUCGACCUCAACGUCGAUACAUGGCUAUCUGAAAUCAAAACAAGGGUCAUAUACAAAACACAAUCACUCUCGACCCAAUCAUGCGAGUCUAAAAGGCCGCCCCUGUUUCUCCUCAAAAUUAUGCCGUCUGCAGCCGACAUAAUUUUCUUGGCCGAAACAGACACUCCUUCAGUCACUCACUACACUCUAGGAAGAGUUAAAACAAUUCAAUCGCUGACUUUCGCGAUAAAUCACGCCUCUCGCGUCUUGCAUUCCUAAGGUUUGCCAAUCUUAAGGUUUCCUAGGUCACACCCCGGAUUACAUGUUUCCCCCGGCAUGCCAACAGACCCGCCGUAUACAUAGAACUUUUUCCUGCAUACGAAACGAUAGCUGUGCCUGUAAUUAAAUCAAGCUACAACUGCGACGCGCUAGUCCAACUACGGCGAGAAGUCGAAAAGAGAGGAAAACACGCGCUCGCCCAGCCUCGAACGUUGCAACCGCGACGUCCACACGCUCGAACGGCUCCCCGGCGCAACGUCAACGUCGAUCCGAGCUCAAGCUGACCAAGUUGAGUGGAUAAGCAUAAAGAGGGAGUAGGUGGCGUAUAUAUCCACCAACCAAAAAGACUGUUCUGCCCCUCACCAACUCAACAUCCCAGCUGGAGUACCGGUACCAGUCCGAUGCCGUACCGCUACUCAGCAUCAAUUAUUGCAACCCAAGAGCAGUAGUUCGAAAAAUACAUUGGGGUACCGAUACUCCCCUGCAUGGUACCGGUACUCAAUACUGAAACCUGCACUUUGCAGAUUUCAAUAUCAAACUCUGCUCUCGCGUCUCACUUGGUCCGUUUUGCGUCCAUUUCGUGCCAAAACGACUCCGACUUGUCCCGACACUCUCCAGAUGUGUCGCCAAACCUCAGAGACUGAAAUCACACAAGCUGCAGAACACCAGGGGUACUACACCAUAGGUUUUCAAAAUCUUUUUUUGGGACACCUAUUGGGACCGUCAACCUCUCUUCUCUUUACGGUGUAGAUGACGUAGAUCUUUCUAGCCUCCACUCUCCCUUCUCUGUCGAGGAAGUUAAGCUGGCUAUCUUCUCGUGUGCAUCGGAUAAGGCUCCGGGUUCGGAUGGCUUCCUGAUGCUUUUCUACCAAAGAUUCUGGAACAUCCUUAAGGCAGAGAUUAUGAAUCUCUUUGAAAAAUUUUAUAGCGGGACUUCUGACCUGAGCGAACUAUUGUAGCUGCAUCGUGUGAGUGCCGGUACCCUGUGUGCGAGCUUGUGGGCUGAGAGGCCGAGUAUCGGUAACCAAGUUGGGUAUCGGUACUCCAGCUGUAUUUUGAGUAGGUAAAGGGCAUUUUGGUCCUUUGAUCUAUCGAUCAACCCAAUGUUUAUCCCCAGCCUUUAUAUUCACAGAGAGAGCAUAGAAGCUGGUUCUUCUUCUCAUUUCCUUCUUUCUCUCUAGCUGGUGGACUCGUACGUGGUUGAGGUCGCGACUCGAGCUCGGGAGGUUGUCGACUCGAUCCGGAGGGCCGUUCGAGCGCGCGGGCGUCACGGUCGUAUCGUUGAGAGGCCAGGCGAGCACGUGGAUUCCAUUCUUUCGACUUCUCGCCGUGGUUGGACGAGCUUUUCGAGGUGCGUUAAUGUUUACCGAAAUCGCCGGAAUUCCUCCAAGUUCUAGUAUCGUUGACAUGUUCAUUGGUUUUAUUUCCUUGCUAGUACUUGAAUUCAUGGAUUAGAGUAUAAAAUCUGAAUUUGGAGUUAAGUUAAUAGUUAUAUUCAAGUUGGACUUGGAAUUGACUUAGGAGAAAACUAUUUAAUCCUACACUGUCAUUUUCUAAAAGGUUACUAGAUUUAGCUUUAGGAGCUAUGGUUUGUUUGUAUCGCUGCUGUUCAUAUGCGGUGGAUACCCAGAUUAGUGUAGGAUGAGUUUACGCUCGUGCUGGAAUGCCAAGCUUAUUUUACAGUAGUAUGUAGACUGUUUCAGACUGUCGGAUGCCGUCGCGGUUGACGGUGGACCCAGAUUUUCUGCAUUUUGCAUCAGAUUGUGCCAAGGGCACGUGAGUUUUGGUUGUUAGACCAGUUAGAGCCAUUUGCAUUGAUUACAAGCUGUGAGAGCCUGAUUGAGCUCGAUAGAGACACGCUUGCAUACUCGGUUGGGUCGUGCCCAUGAGUGCCGCUCCAGAGUUUGGUUACGUGCUUUCUCAUUGAUGUCGUAGUGUCCGGUUUGGACUUUGCUCUCCACCGGCAGCUCUCGGGGUGGUGUGCGCUGUAGCUUCGACAGACGAGACGGGUGCAUUCACAGUCCCUAGUGAGUUUGGGUCAGAGAUUGCAUUGUUGUUAUAUCUACAGAUAGCCAGUGUUGGUUAGCGAUAGUAUAGUGGCAUAUAGCGGUAGGGUUUUCAGCUUUUCUUACUAUCUCUUGCACACUUUUCUAUAGACUUGGUGGGUGAGUGGGUGAGCCGUUGAGGCCGAUGACGGUACCCACUAAGGACUACUCUAUUUUGCAGUAGUUCUCACACCUAGUUUGUAACGACCUAGCCCACUAGCAAUAAUAACUCGUUGGGCCCAACCACUGGCCCAAAAUGCUUAAGCCCAAUUUAUUAUUACUAGUGUCUAAGUCUAUUAUAUACCCAAUCACAUCCCCAUUCCUAUCCGAUGUGGGAUUAUUGGGGUGUGACAAACUCCUCCCGUUAAGGCCCUGACGUCCUCGUCAGUACAAUCCAAUCACACACACAGCCCAAGAUCACCAUGCGAUGUGAGACUCGUCUCGCUAGCCUUGUCAUCCAAACCCUGAUAUAGCCGGUCACCUUGUCAUUCAGACUCCGGUAUAGCCUAUCACCUUGUCUUUCCGACCCUGGCUCAGCCAAAACUCAUCUCACACUUCCAGCUGCUGAACCGGCUCUGAUACCAAAUAUAACGACCCAGCCCACUAGCAAUAAUAACUCGUUCGGCCCAACUACUGGCCCAAAAUGCUUAAGCCCAGUUUGUUAUUACUAGUGUCUAAGUCUAUUAUAUACCCAAUCACAUCCCCAUUCCUAUCCGAUGUGGGAUUAUUGAGGUGUGACACAGUUGUUGACCCUUUUUGCAGAGCCUUCUUCUGCGGCUGCUGCUGCCGUUGAUUCUGACCGUGGAAAAGGAGUCGCGAGUUAGAUCCCUUCCAGCUUUGUUGCAAUGCUAGAAGAGUACCUUUCAAAGGUAGUUUUGGGCUUUCUUUGUACAUACUGCGAUGUUGUCGGGGUGCUCACUGGAGCGAGUUGUGUUGUAGCAUUUUGUAUGUACUGAAACCCCUCGAGGUUUUAUAUAUUAUCCUUUUUAGUUUAGCAGCUCUAUACUACUGGUUGUAGUUUUGUUGUGAUUGCAGGUGCAGCUAUCACUUUGUAUACAUGAAAAAUUUCGAUAUAUACGGCGGGUCUGUUGGUGUGCCCGGGGAACGUGUUAUCCGAGACGUGACAGAUUAAGUUGGUAUCAGAGCUUAGCGUUAGGUCGCUCGGAUCAAGAAAUCUUAAGCUUGGCAAACCUUAGGAAGGAAAGACGCGAGAGGCGUGAUUUACCGCGAAAGUCGGCGAUUUAGUUGUUUAACUUCUCCUAGAGUGGAGGGAGUGACCGAAGGAGAGUGUGUUUCUACCAAGAAAAUUAUGUCGGUUAUAGACGACAUAAUUUUGAGGAGAAACAGGGGCGACCUUCUUGACUUUCGCCUAAUUGGGUCGAGAGAUGUUAUGUUUUGUAUUUGACCAUUGUUUUGAUUUCAGGUAGCUAUGUAUCGAUGGCGAGGUCGAUCGUCGAUGCGAAACCGUUACGCACCAGCAGAGAUGCCUGAGCAGGCAGGACCGAGUGCAUCCCCCGAUCUGAGUGAGCUGUUGGCUGCCCUGACUGAGGAGACCAGGCAGCAAGGGACACUAUUAUAGAGGGUAUGUGAGACAUUUACUUAGCUACCGAGCAGAGCACUAGAGCAGCCAGUACCACUACCGACUACUCCCGUUGCCGCACCAAGCACAGCUGUACCCCCACCAGUGACAGUUCCUACGGCGCCAAUUACAUUUUCUGGAGAGGCAUCGCAGAUGUCCAAGGGUGAGCAGGAGCGAUGAUAGAGUGGCUCGCUCGUUUUCGUCAGUUUGAUCUGCCGCGCUUUGAUGGUAGUUGUACGGAGCCCUGGGUUGUAGAGGUCUGGAUGAGCGCGAUGGAGAAGUUAUUCGAGGACUUGUUUAUACUAGAGCGGGAGCACGUACAUCUGAGAGUGCACUGUUUGGCAGGCGAUGCACACUCUUGGUGGAGGAGGAUGAGGCGGACUCCAGGGGUGGUGGCGCUACAGAUGAAGUGGGUCGAGUUUUGUGGAUCGCUGUACGGGGCCUAUUUCCCAAACAGCGUGAAGCAAAAGCUCAAAGAGGACCUGAAGAAGCUACAGCAGGGAGAGCGAUCAGUUCAGGAGUACCCUCACGAGUUUACUCGGCUUCUGAACUGUGUGCCGUUUGUAGCCCGGGAUGAAGCCCACAAAGUGUAUCUGUAUGAGGGGGGCUUGAGGCCAGAGAUCCUCCGGUUGGUGCAGGCGCAGAGGUUGAGGACCUUGGAUGCGUCGAUUGAGCAGGCAUUGUUGGUGGAGAAAGGAGAUGUAUCGAUCCGUGAGUAGGCUCAGGUGAUGGGGCAGAGUCAGGAUAGGAAGCGCCGGGUCCCAGAUGAUGGAGGGCAGUCAAGCAGCAGGCAUCCGCCGAGGCCUCCACGAUCACGUUCUCAUGGCCGUGGGUCUUCGGGGCGACAACGUUCUGGGGGACCUCGUUAGCAGGGACAGUCGUAGGGGACUACGCAGUGUGUGAUUUGUGGGGGACCACAUUGGUCCCGACAGUGUGAGAAGAAAGAGGGCCGAUGUUAUGGAUGUGGACAGCCUGGACAUAUGAAGGCAGCUUCUCCCCGAGCAGCAUCACCGGCACCUUCAACAGCGUCAGCUUUGUUGGCACCUCAGCAGACUUAUGGAGUAUCGCCGAGCUACGGUCAGGAAGACAGGGUGUCAGUGCCGCGACAGAACGAGCGGCGACAGCAGGCCUCGAGUGGCAGGGUGUAUGCAGCCCAGGUGGAGGACUCUACAGUAGCCGACUGGAUGGUGGCAGGUAUCAUUUUAAUUUCUGGUAUUAAAGCUCGUACCUUAUUUGAUACCGGUGCAUCAUAUUCUUUUAUUAGCCGAGCAUUUGCAUCGUUGCAUGGUCUAAAGUUAGGACCGCUGUUACAGGCAUGAGCGGUGCAGAUUCCCGAUCAUGUGUUGCAUGUGGCGGAGUGUUGUUGGGCUUGUUCAGUGCAGUUGGGCCCUUGGAUUAUGCCUGCAGACCUGUUGGUCUUAGAGCAGCUGCAGGACUUCGAUGUUGUGCUUGGCAUGGAUUGGCUGGCGCGGUACUAUGCGACGAUUGACUGUGGAGCGAGGACAGUGAUGUUCCGCUAACCAGGCCAGGAGGAGUUCACGUACAGAGGCUGCAGGAGUACGUUGUUUGCCAUAUGGAUUUCGUCUGCGAGGGCAAGACAGCUAAUGAGUAAAGGAUGCAUCGCUUUCUUGGCGACUGUAGUAGAGGUGCCUACGGUGGCGCCGGGACUCAAGGAUAUCCCUAUAGUCCGCGAGUUUUCGAAUGUUUUUCCUCCGGAGUUUACGACUAUGCCGCCGGAUAAAGAGAUUGAGUUUGUGAUUGACGUAGUUCCUGGAACUGCGCCAAUCUCGAAGGCACCCUACCGAAUGGUACUGGCAGAGCUGAGAGAGCUAAAGACACAGCUUCAGGAUUUGAUGGAUAAGGGGUAUUUGAGACCCAGUGUAUCGCCUUGGGGAGCGCCGGUGUUAUUCGUGAAGAAGAAUGAUUGAUCACUUAGACUGUGUGUAGAUUACAGGGAGUUGAAUAAAGUGACCAAUCCUUUGUCGCGCAUUGAUGAUCUAUUCGAUCAGCUGCAAGGAUCUUGUGUCUUUUCGAAGAUUAAUCUCUAGUCAGGUUACCACCAGUUGAGGGUGAGAACCGAGGAUGUUCCCAAGACGGCUUUUCGGACUUGGUACGGGCAUUAUGAGUUCACAGUGAUGCCUUUUGGAUUGACUAAUGCCCCUGCCGCAUUUAUGGAUCUGAUGAAUAGAGUGUUCAAGCCGUUCUUGGAUAUAUUCGUAGUUGUGCUCAUAGAUGAUAUUCUGAUAUACUCCGGGAGUGAUGUUGAGCACGAGGAGCAUUUGAGGAUAGUGUUACAGCUUCUGAUGGAGAAGAAGUUAUAUGCUAAGUUGAAGAAGUGCGACUUUUGGCUUCGGGAAGUUUCUUUCUUGGGCCAUGUGGUUUCUACAGCUGGAGUGGCAGUUGACUCGAAGAAGAUUGAUACUAUUCGGGAUUGGCCCAGACUGACGAUGGUUACCGAGGUGAGGAGUUCUCUUGGAUUGGCUGGAUAAUACCGUCGGUUUGUGGAAGGCUUUGCGAAGCUUUCCACACCCCUCACUCGAUUGACUUGAAAAGAAAUUAAGUUCAUCUGGAGUGAAGAUUGUCAGAGGAGCUUCGAUGAGUUGAGACAGAGGUUGAUGUCGGCUCCCAUCCUUGCCCUUCCAGUUGUGGGGGAAGGAUUUGUGAUCUAUAGUUAAGCAUCGCACAGCGGGUUGGGUUGUGUUCUGAUGCAGCAUGGUAGGAUAAUUGCUUAUGCUUCUCGACUAUUGAAGGAUUACGAGAAGACUUACGCUACGCAUGACUUAGAGCUUGCUGCGGUGAUUUUUGCCUUAAAGUUGUGGUGGCAUUACUUGCAUGGCGAGCAUUGUGAGAUUUUUAUAUAUCAUAAAAGUCUCAAAUAUUUGUUUACCCAAAAGGAGUUGAACCUGAAGCAACGCCGAUGGUUGGAGUUGUUGAAGGAUUAUGAUAUUAGUAUUCAGUAUCACCCAGGUAAGGGGAAUGUGGUGGCAAAUACGUUGAACAGGAAGUCAGUGCAGAGCUUGAGCAUGAUGAUUACUCAGCAGAGGCCGUUACUAGAGGAGUUACAGUGGUUGAGGCUUGAGGUGGUAUCCCCUGGGUCUACUGCGAGACUGAUGUCCAUGGUCUUGCAGUCUACUCACAGUGCUAGUAUCGUCGACAUGUUCAGCCCACUCACAGGUGGUAUCCCCUGGGUCUCUUCUUUCGACUUCUCGCCGUAGUUCGACGAACUUUUCGAGGUGGGUUAAUGUUUACCGAAAUCGCCGAAAUUCCUCCUAAAUUCUAGUAUCGUUGACAUGUUCAUUGGUUUUAUUUCCUUGCUAGUACUAGAAUUCAUGGAUUAGAGUACAAAAUCUGAAUUUGGAGUUAAGCUAGUAUUUAUAUUCAUGUUGGACUUUGGAAUUGACUUAGGAGAAAACUAUUUAAUCCUACACUGUCAUUUUCUAAAAGGUUACCAGAUUUAGCUUUAGGAGCUAUGGUUUGUUUGUAUCGCCGCUGUUCAUAUGCCGUGGAUAUUCGGAUUAGUGUAGGAUGAGUUUACGCUCGUGCUGGGAUGCCGAGAUUAUUUUACAGUAGUGGGUAGAUUGUUUCGGACUAUCGGGUGCCGACGCCGUUGAUGGUGGACCCAGAUUUUCUGUAUUUUGUAUCAGAUUGUGCCAAAAGCACGUGAGCUUUGGUUGUUAGACCAGUUAGACCUAUUUGCAUUGAUUACAGCCUGUAAGAACCUAAUUGAGCUCGACAGAGACACGCUUGUAUACUCGGUUGGGUCGUGCCCACGAGUGCCGCUCCGGAGUUUGGCUACGUGCUUUUCCGUUGAUGUCGUAGUGUCUGGUUAGGACUUAAUUUGCUCUCCACCGGCAGCCCUCGGGGUGGUGUGUGGUGUAGCUUCGACAGACGCGACGGGUGCGUUCACAGUCCCUAGUGAGUUUGGGUUAGAGAUUGCAUUGUUGUUAUAUCUACAGAUAGCCAGUGUUGGUUAGCGAUAGUAUAGUGGCAUAUAACUGUAGGGUUUUCAGCUUUCCCUACUAUCUCUUGCACACUUUUCUGUAGAUUUAGUGAGUGAGCCGUUGAGGUCGGUGACGGUACCCACUGAGUACUACUCUAUUUCGCAGUAGUUCUCACACCCAGUUGUUGACCCUUUUUGCAGAGCCUUCCUCUGCAGCUUUCAGACCAUGGAAAGAGAGUCGCGAGCUAGAUCCCUUUCAGUUUUGUUGCAGUGUUAGAGCAGUACCUUCCAGAGAUAGUUUUAGGCUUUCUUUGUACAUACUGUGAUGUUGUCGGGGUGCUCGCUAGAGCGAGUUGUGGUGUAGAUAUUUUGUAUGUACUAGAACCCCUCGAGAUUUUAUAUAUUAUUUUUUCAGUUUAGCAGCUCAAUACUACUGGUUGUAGUUUUGUUGUGAUUACAGGUACAGCUAUCGCUUCAUAUAUACGGAAAAUUUCUAUGUAUACGGUGGGUCUGUUGGCAUGCCCGGAGAAACAUGUUAAUCCGGAACGUGACACUUAUAUAUUGAUAAACAAAAAAUAUUAAAUUAUAAUUUUUUGAACUUACCUAAUAAGUAGAUUUUUGAUUUAUAAAGUGUUUGGGAGUGUGGGGUACAUAAAAUGUUUCGAGUAGCCAAAUAAAAAAUAAAAAAAUAAAAAAUAGUGCCGGUAUGAUAUAGUGCCACGGCACCCACUCGUGUAGGGCGCUGUCAUGCGUGAUACGCAGGUGUGUGCUGCGACACGGCGAAGGAUUCCCCCAGUACUGUGCCUCCUUCUUGGGGGCACAGUAUGUACCACUCCGUGCCCCCUUCUUGGGGGCAUAGUAUGUACCGCCCCGUGCCGUACGGUAUGGGACGUGCUUGAAACAUUAUUCACUGAUCAAUUGGGCUGGUGUUAAUUACAUCCUACGUGUCAUCCAUCUCACGAUGAUCAAUUGGGAGGGAGGUGACCUCUAAAAGGCAAUAUUACCAUCUUCUGAAAAGUAUCUACCGAAGAUUGCGUAUUCAAAUGGAUGCGUAUUAAGCAUGCGCAAAAUUUGCGGGAGGUCACACACGCCCGAUCAUUGUUAUUUACAAGUGCUGAUUAGAUUUUUUGAUUCAACACAGAUAACUGUUUCGAAAUUCUGAAUUAUUACUGUCGUGAAUAAGAUGACUAUUUUUUUUUUUUGAGAAAAAUAUAACUUGCUACCCACUUAAUUCAUUAAAAAUAUGAACUAGGCUAUAUGGGUGAGGUAAUAGACCUCAGUCGAGACGAAAAAACGAAAAAACAAAAAAACAAAAAAAACAAAAACAAAAACAAAAACAAAAAUAAAAACAAAACUAAGCAGCUACUUUGCCGAGGUGAAUUCCUCCCACGAGUCCUUCAAGUACCUGAUCUUGCAGAAAAACUAAUAACAGGCACAAUGUAAAACACAUUAUUGUUUUUACUGAAGUAAUUAUUUGUGCCCAAGUAGUUUGCAUAACAUUUUCUGAUUGUGACUCAUACAUGCAAAGCACACAAGCAGGAAGCGUGCGAAGGUAUGGAAACAUCUAGUAAAUGAUAAAAAUAAUAUAUGUGUAUUAAUUGGCCCCUUUAGUAAUUAAUUAAGUGCAGGUUCAUUUGAGGAAGGUUGAGCAGCUUCUAGCGAAAUGACAAAAAUAAAAAAAAAAAGGAUAUAUUUGUCCCUGAAGUAAUUAAGAGCAACUACAUUUGAGGAAGGUUAAUUACGUGAAGAGCGAAAUGAAAAAGAUCCGUCACAUUCAACAAUUAAUUAAAACAUGAACCCCAAACUUGGUUUUGUUUGUCUUGCGCUUUACUUGUCAAACCGACUUUUUUUGGUAUAUUUUUAUUUGGUGAAAUCUGCAAAGAGUAUGAACAAAGUGUUCUGCCUAUAAACUACUAAUUUUAUUUAUUGGACUACUUCAUCUUAUAAUAAAAGAGUUCGAUUCAUGCUGAGAGUAGGUAGUCAAUGUAUUAAGUUGAAAUUCGAUACAGGAUUUGUGACUGUAUGAUUAAUUAAUUACUAAAAUAUUCACUUUUAGAGAAAAAAAUAAGUUUUUUUUUUUUUUUUUCUAGAGAAAGAUAGCUAAAGGGUGUGUUUGGUUUGAUGCAAAAGAGGAUGGAAAAAAAAUUUCGGCAGAAAUAUAGUUUGCGAAAAGUUUGGUUCGGCGUAAAUUUUUUUUUUUUUCUGAACAUAUUUGCAUGAAAAUUUCCUUUCUCGUUUUUCGUGCUAGAGCGACGGAAAACAAAACAGCGGAGCCAAAAAUCACGGCUUAUGAGUAGUGUUCUCAGGUAAUCCACGAGGCUAUUUCGGUCUCAUGGACCGCAUGAUGGACCUCUCUCUCAUUAUAUAUAUAUAUAUAAAAUUAGGCUGGAAUACUAUUAAUAGUAAAACGUUCUUUUUGCUAUCAAGUUUUUAACCCUUGGAUGAAAAAUUGUAGGGUCAGGAUGAUAUUAGUCAGUUAGAGUUGANNNNNNNNNNNNNNNNNNNNNNNNNAUAGCUUAUAAAAAUAUAUAAAAAAAUUAAGACUUUUUAAAAUUUUUAUUUAUAUAUAAAAUUUGAUGUUCAUAGUUUUAACUUUUCAAUUAUAUUGUUUUUUUAUAAUCAUCUAUCUAUUUUUAUUAUAUAUUUAUAAAUAGAAUUUUUCUUUUCUAUACCUUACUAUUUUUAUAAAUUAUUUUUUUAUUUUAUAAUUAUCAACCUCUUUUUUCUCCUUGAUAGAAAUCUAAUAAAUAAAACACAUGCUUUUUUUUUCUUUAAAACUUUAUCUAGAUAACUUCCUGGCUUUAAAUUUCAUGCAUUAAUAUAUAUAUAUCUAUAUCUACACUAAUAUAUAAAUUUUAUAAAAUAAAAAAUAUAUUAUUAUUGUUGGCAACAACUAUUUAAAUUUGAGUUAGAAUAUAAUAGAUAUUUUCUAAUAGUAUAUAAUAAAUAAAUUUAUUUUUUAAAAUUUAAAUUUUAUAUUAUAAAUUUUUGAAUAAAUAUAAGAUACAAAUUUAUAUGAUUUUAAGAUAAUUAUUAAAAUAUUUGUUACGUAUAUUUGUGCGUACACUCAACUAGUAUAUAUAUAAAAAUUUAUUUGUAAAUUUUUAUUUAUUUAUUAUAUAUAGCAUUUUAUUUUUAUAGAAAGUUUCUUAUUUAUAGAGGGUUAUUUAUGAUAUUUCAUUUUCUAAAGGGGCAUCUAUACCUUUAUACCUAUCUAUUAUUGGCUAAUGGCUAAAGCUGACGUGGCGCAACCUCAUUUUUUUUAUUUUAUUUUUCUUUUUACGGUGUGCCCAUCCAUUCUCUCUCUCUCUCUCUCUCUCUCGCUCUCUCUCUCUCUCUCUUAACUGUGAGCAUGCAUGAUGGCUUGUUACUAGGAAAUAACAGGACAGAUGGUUACUUGAGUUGUGUGUUUCAAUCGAAUGUACAAACUUUCUUAUGAUGUUAUCCUAGUAGUUUAUUGCCAUAUGCCUGCUUGUGUUCUUAUACUUACGAUUGCUCAUCCAUUCUCAUUUUGUGUUUGAUCAUUCAAUGUUUGAUAUGCAACCCAUUACAUCCACUAUCUGCGGUGCAUAUCUCACAAAUAGCUAUUUGUGUAUUUGUUAUCAUUAAACUACCUGUCAUAAUUAUUUUAGCUUCUCAUGGUGAUGGAAUACGUGCUAUGGUCUAUAAUGCCACACAAUGGNAAAGGAAACAAAUUGUUUUCACAAAAAAAAAGUAAAAAUAAGAUCUCUUUAUAUUUUUUUUCCUCACGUUUUUUUAUUUUUUCAUUUUGGGGCACAAGAAGGGUACACAUUUUAUAAUUUUCUUGAUUUUUUUUCUAUUUUGUUUUAAAUUGUGUGGGGGUUGAAAUUAGAUUUCCAGAAAUAGCGGCGCGGUGCAGCGAGUAGAAGUGGCGAUGGAUUUGGAAUCCGUGAGGUGGAAGAAGCGGUGGGUGUGAGGGUAUCUGUACGAAAUUGACGUGACCGUGACCAAGGAGGAGCACGAAGCC